UUUUUUUUUUUGUGUAAAAGUACUUUUAACAAACAAAAAUAGUGUAUGAGUGUUUGAUAAACAUUUAUAUAAAUUGCUGUCAAUAUAUUAAAUGACUCAAAAUAAUAUGGUAUUAAUGUGAUAUAAUAAUUGUCAAAGAAAAUAAUAUAGGGGCAAUGAUUAUAAUUUUGUAAAAUAUUUGGACGUAUACUUGCUAUUUGAAAAUUUUAUCAAAUGAGCAUCGAUUAGUAUGCUUUGAAAAAAAAAGACACAUUUUUUUAAAAAGCAUGGUAGAUUUUGCUUCUUCUUUUCUACUGUCAUUGAUAGUUUUUUAAACCAAACACAUUUAAUGUUUCAGAUUUUUUUAAUAAACUGUUUGUUUACAAAAAAACAUCAUAAUUCCAAAUCAGCCCUAAGAGCUCCCCAUUGCUUCUUACGGAAGCAGUCUUGAGAAGACCAAAUGACACAAGCUACCCUCUCUUCUAAACUAGUAAUUAGGAACUCAAUGGGCUCACUUUUAGUGUAAGCAGGUGUCUUCAGUUGUUCGGAGUGACAAUUUGUUGAAAAAAAAGGAUUCCUGACUAAUGUGGAUUCAUUGUUUGACUGAGAGAAAGAUGGUCCCUUCCGAACCUUAGUUCCUUCACAUUCUUGCUCUAAAUUUUCCUUAAAACUCUCGCAUUGCAGUCAAUUUCUCUGAAAACUGAGACACUUCGACUUGCAUGUUGGAACCCCAGUUCAUUUUUCUUGCAAUUUUUGAAUUGAAUUUUGCAAGUUAUGGAAUUUUAGGGUCCAAAGAAGUUUUUUGGAGUGAAGUUUUUGAGAGUGAUGUGGGGGUGAUAUUGGUUUGUGCCAUUAGGAAGGUGAAAACCUUUUACCUUUUAGCAGUAGAAAAAAACAAACUUUUGAACUAUCCGUAAUAACGAACUUGCAAAAUGAAUCUCUUCAUCAUAAAGAGAUUCGUUGUUCUUGACCCUGAUUCACCUUAAUUAUUAUUUGAACAAGUAAAAGUUAUGUCUUGCUCUGAGUGGGAAUAGCAUUUCUCUUCUGCAUGUCCAUUUAAAUUGACAUACUCAAAAUAAAAUUAUAUAUGAAAAAUAGUGAUCAAAUUAAUAUAUAUUAUAUUUAAAAUGUACACAUAAAUUAACAAAAUACAAUAAUAAAAUCUUAAUCGAAGUCUAUUGUGGUGGUAGUGGUGAGGGAUAUGGUCUAAUAGCAUCCUAAUCCUCAACUUUAGCCGUCAAAGUCUCGACGAUUCCCUACGGAAAAAACAAACAUGGUCAAAUAACCAAAAAACAACACAAAAUAAUACCAAAAAAUGGGCAUAAUCUCCCCUAAAAUUGGCACACCCCAAAUUCAACCCCAAACUUCACCCCUCACCCGAAACUCGACCCCAAACCCCACACCAAACCCAAAAUUAACUCCAAAAACAUAUGUUAAUGAAAAAAAUAUAUUAAAAUUUGCGGAGAAAAUACCUUUUGGCAAGAUUGAGAGUGAGUGAGAAUGAGAGAGAUGAGUGAGUGCGAGAGAGUUAGAGGAGAUAAUGAGAGAGAGAUGAAAGAGUGAGUGAGAGUGAGAGAUAUAGAAGAGAGAGAGAGAAGAGAGAUUAAGUGAGAGGUGAGUGUGAGAGAGAGGUUGGAUUUGGGGAGAGGGAAAGAGAGAUGAGAGGUAAGAGAAUAGAGAAAGACAUUGAGAAAAUUGUGGAGGAGAUAUUUUGGUUUUAAAAACCGUAUCACUUUGCGCAACGAAGGAUACAAGUUUGCACGACAAAAUAUAGGUCGCGCAAAGUCUUAAAAAAAAAUUUCCGCGUCCCAUUUUUAGGGUUUUGCGCGAGGAAGUGUUGGUCGCACAAAGUUUUGCGCGACGAAGAAUUGGUCGUGCAAAGUCUUAAAAAAAAAUUCCCGUCCCAUUUUUAGCUUCGCCCAAAUUUAAGGAUUUGCGCGACGAAAUAUAGAUUCAUCACACAAAAUUUACAAAAUAAUUUUUAUAAAUAAUAAAAAAGAAAAUUUAUUUAGGAAGAGUUUUUACGCAUUAAUUUGUGUUGGUAGUUUGCUUGUAUGUUUGCAUCAAGGAAAACUGAGGCCCUAUUUGGUACUUUACUUGAAUCCAGCUUUUUAAAGUCAAACACAAUUUUCAAGUUUUAGGCCUUAAAAACUUGUGAGGCAAGACUAUUUUCAAAAAGAACUCAACACUAACUAAAAAAUAUAGUCUAUUAUCUAAAAACAUAAAAAGUGUUGUAAACAUUCCUAGUUUAAGUAUGAUUGUGUAAAUCCUAGAUAAGAUUUGAUUCUAGUUAUCCUUUCCUAUUACAACUUGUAUUACUUGGAGGAGAAGAAAUAUCUUCUCUCCCUUUACUACUAUAAAUAAAGGCACAAUGUAGGAGGGAUAACAACACACACAUUCCCCUACAAUUCUACAAACACACAUCUCUCUCCUCUCUCUCUGCCGCCGGCCCUAGUCCCUCUGUCAGAUAAAAUAGACCACAACACGUUAUCAGCACGCUCCUACCGCUGCGCUUAGGAAUCUGACGUUGGAAAUUUUUUCUGCAUCAAACCAGUUCAUCCAUAUCAUCACGCAAUCAGGUUCUUUCCAAACAACGGUUUUUAACUCGAUAUUUUGCAGCCCUGAUAGCAUGAACAUUCACCAUGAUGCAUGACCCAACUUUACGUUUUACGUAUUUUAGAUUCUACGUAAAUUGUGUAUGCUUCAUAAUCAAAAUUGCUACAAUUAUGUGAAUUUGAUAUUUGUCAUGAAUUGAAUCCUACAUAUGUACAUGCAUUGAAACUAUUAUUUGCAUAUGCAUCAACGUAAAUAUGUGAUUCAUUGAAAUCCACAUGCAUAUAAUUAUAUUUGAAUUGAAAAAAAAAAAAUUUGCGAUUUGGGAAUUAGGGUUCUUCGAACCCAUGCACUUGCACCAUGCAAGCCGCAAGCCACCAGGCCCGCAGCCUGCGAUGGCCCAGCUCGGUUUCCUCACCAGGCCUGCAACCUGCAUCGAUCCUCCGAGCCCAAGACCACGGCUGGAGCUUCUACUCCUCGUCCAAACCCCAAACCCGACACCCAGCAGGUGUCGCCACCCAUCCAUCACCGUACUGCACGGCCUGUCGCCGUGCCUAGCCUACUCAGACGACUUACAGAUCGUCCACGGUGUCCUAUGGUCUGAGAUUUGCUGAGAUCUCAUUGGAAUUUUUCAUAAUCCGAUUGAAAUUUCCUAGGGUUUGGUUGAUAUAACGUCGAGAUUUCUCCAAUCUCCGUUCAUAUUUGGUUCCCCAGUUGGACCCCCGUGUUUCCCACGAUCGAUAGCCUCCUAGAACACGGCCACCUACAGUGGCGGCGUUCCGGCAACCGUUCCCAGCAAAAGCUGGGGUGUUCCUGGUUCCAACCCGAACCCUAUUGGGCUCCAGCCUCUCGGCCCGUGUGAAAAAAAAAAAAAAAAAACAAUUUUUUUUGCUGGGCUCGCUUGCAGCGGCCCAGCCCACAAAGAAAACAAUUUGUUUUUUAUUUUCCUGGGCUCGCCUGCAGCGGCCCAUACCGAAAAAAAAGAGAAAUUUUUUUUAGCACCCCGUGGGCCUGCAGCCUACACCCGGGGGGUACUCGGCCUAUAUUUUUAGGCCCCGAGAUUUUAUUAUUUAAUUUUUUUUAAAUAAUAUGGGUUUUUAUAUUUUCACCCACACUUUAAUUUGGCCCCGAAGACCAAAAAUAAAUUAAUUCACUUAUCAUUAUACAAUAUUUCUGCAUAUAUUCUUUGCAUAUUUGUUUGCAUAUAUAUUUGUGUUUGCCUGCAGGAAUAUAUGAACUUGAAGUUCAUAAUUACUUUGAAACCCGAAGUUUCUUCUAAACAUGCCUUGUUUGAAAACCCGAAGUUUUCACUUAAAUAUAUCACCCAUGAAAACCCGAAGUUUUUCAUGCAAAAUUAAACCAAUACAUGUCUAUUAGAACCUGUAUGUUCUACUCCUAUGUGAAUGGAUUGAUUUUUCUCCAUUACACUAACUACAUCUUGUCCAUCUAUUUUGUGAUAGGAACAUGUCGAACUUGAACAAACUCGACUUCACCGCUUUGGAGGUUUCUGGAAGGAACUACCUCAAGUGGGUUCAAGAUGUGAAGCUCCACCUCACUGCAAAGAACUUGCGUCCUGCUAUUGAAGAAGCAACAGAUAAACCUGUUGGCGAAGCUGAAAAAGCCACUGCUAUGAUCUUCAUCCGAAGACAUAUCCAUGACGCUCUACAAACUGAGUACCUUGCUGAGGAGGAUCCACGUGCAUUAUGGGUCGCUUUGGCUGAUCGUUUCGAUCACCAAAAGGACAUAUUCUUGCCUGAAGCAAGACACGACUGGCAGCACUUGCGCUUCCAAGACUUUAAGUCUGUGAAUGAAUAUAAUUCUGAAGUUUGUCGAAUCCGAUCACUUCUCAAGUUUUGCAAUGAAACUUUGACUGAAGAGGAUCUCCUGGAGAAGACCUACUCGACCUUCUCUGCUUCUAAUAUUGUCCUGCAGCAACAAUAUAGAGCUCAGACGUUCACUAAGUUCUCGGAUUUGAUCUCUGUUUUACUUCUUGCUGAAAAGCAGAACCAGCUGUUGAUGAAGAAUCAUCAAGCUCGACCUACUGGGGCUACUGCUGUGCCUGAAGCACAUUAUAGCACUAAUCAGCACCCAAAACGCCAAAAGAGGCGUGGUAAGGGCGGCCAGAAGCCAUCCCACCAAGGUCAACAGAGCCAAGGCCCAUCCAAGGGAGGAAACAAAGCCCAGAAGCGCCCAAACCUCGCUCCCAAUGGCCCGAACUUCAAGAAUAAGGGCAAAGCACCUGCCACAAUGAAUGACGAUAUGUGCUAUCGUUGUGGUUCCAAGGACCAUUGGUCCCGUAUUUGCCGUGCUCCCAAGAAGGUUGUGGAUGCAUAUCAUUCUCGUCGUACGAAGUUUGAAUCAAACUUCCAGCAAGUGGACGAACUGGAGACUACAAAGAUGGAGGUUUCUGAUUUUCAGGAGGAUACCACUCCUAUGGAAGAUUAGAAUCUUAGACAUAGACUUAUUUUUCAGAUAAAAUAAGACAAUUGGGGCCGAAUUCCACCUUGUGGCCGAACCCCACCUUGUUUUUUGGUUGAUUUUGAACAAUUUUCCUUUAUGUUUUGGAUUAUUAGUUGGCGAUUUAUUUUGGAUAUUAAGUUUUUAAUCCUUGAAUAAAUGAAAUUAUUUUGAAUUGAUACUUGUUUUUAUAAACUUUUAUGCAUGUGACCGAUUCAAAUUAAUUUUUCAUUCUAGGUAUGACUAGUGGGAAAGUUAGUUGUCUGGCAGAUAGUGCAACCACGCAUACUGUUUUGCGUGAAUGCAUCUAUUUCACUAACUUCGUACCUAAGAAUGCACCUCUGACAACCCUCUCAGGCCCAUCCAACCUGAUCGAAGGAUACGGUAAGGCACGUAUAAUGUUGUCCAAUGGUACAAUCUUGACCAUUGCUGAGACACUCUAUUCUCCACGUUCCGGAAGAACGUUACUCAGUUUCAAGGACAUUAGAGAUAACAAUUACCACGCUGAAACCCACGUAGAAAACGGAGUUGAAAUUUCUGUGCGUAACUUCCUACGAAUAUGGCCAGAAGCGUAUUCUAGAGAAGAUGGAGCGUAACCCGAGUGGUCUGUAUACUACGACCAUACGCCCCAUAGAAUGCCACUAUGUGGCCGGCUCUACCACAGGGACCGCGCACGAAAUUACACUUUGGCAUGAUCGUUUGGGACAUCCUGGACGAAUAGCGAUGCGCCGUAUCCUCAAAACUUCACACGGGCAUCCACUAACCCGAAGCUUAGGUUCGAUCCAUGAAAUUGCAUGUCAAACAUGUUCUAUGGGAAAGCUUAUUACUAAGCCUUCUUAUGACAAGAUUCGUUCGAAUCCUCCCAUUUUUCUACAACGGAUUCAGGGGGACAUUUGUGGACCGAUUCAACCUCCCUGCGGACCAUUUAGAUAUUUUAUGGUUUUGGUUGACGCUUCUACACGUUGGUCACACGUGUGCUUGUUGUCCACAAGGAACGCUGCAUUCUCCAAACUAUUGGCUCAGGUUAUCAAGCUCAGGGCUCACCACCCUGAUUAUCCGAUCAAAUCUAUUCGAUUGGAUAAUGCUGGAGAAUUCACAUCUAAAACUUUUGAUGACUAUUGCAUGUCGGUUGGGGUUGAAGUUGAACAUCCUGUACCCCAUGUUCACACCCAGAACGGCAUGGCAGAGGCUUUCAUUAAGCGUUUUCAAAUGAUUGCUCGAUCGUUGGUCAUACGUACCAAGCUCCCGAUCGCUGCUUGGGGCCAUGCAAUAUUGCACGCAGCAAAGUUGGUCCGCCUGAGGCCUGUUGCGACACAACCAUUUAGUGCCCUUCAGUUGGUCACCGGAUGCGAACCCGACAUAUCGCAUCUGCGCGUUUUUGGUUGUGCGGUCUAUGUGCCGAUCUCGCCGCCCUUACGUACAAAAAUGGGGCCUCAGCGAAGGAUGGGAAUCUAUGUCGGAUAUGAUUCUCCUUCGAUUAUUCGUUACUUAGAACCUUUGACAGGCGAUCUGUUUACCGCUCGUUUCGCGGAUUGUCACUUCUAUGAGACAGUUUUUCCCGUCGUUAGGGGAGAUAAGAACGUCAACGUUCCUAAUGAACGACGCGAAUUAUCGUGGACGACUCCCACUUUGUCUCAUUUAGAUCCCCGCACCGCUCAGUCUGAAGCUGAAGUGCAGCGCAUAUUAGAUCUCCAGAGCAUAGCUCAGAGAGCAUGCCAGAUGCUUUCACCGAUCUAGCGCGCGUGACAAGAUCACAUAUUCCAGCUGCGAAUACGCCUGCAAAGAUGGAUGUACCAAAUGUAUGACGGACUACGCUCCUGGAAGCCCGGGACGCCAAUUCUGGUGAUCCACGUACAUUAGCGGCUAGCCAAUCAUCUGCCCCUACACAAAAGCGUGGCAGACCCCUUGGUUCAAAGGAUUCACACCCCCGGAAGAGGAAAACCACGGCACAAGGUCCUGAAGAGCCUACCGUGAAUCCGACUAUCGCUUACUCAUUUUACCCAACUCAUGAGGAAAUUCUAGAUUAUGGAAGCGUCCUUGAAGAGACGAAUCCUCCUCCCGAGAAUCGUGAGAUUUCGGUCUAUUAUGCUAGCUUAGAUGAUGUGUGGCGUAGAAAUGAGAUGAUUGUCGACGAUGCAUUAGCAUUUGCAGUAGCUACUGAGAUCAUGUUGAGCGAUGACAUUGAACCGCGUUCCGUUGAUGAAUGUCGACGUAGAGCUGAUUGGUCAAACUGGAAACAAGCAAUCCAAGUCGAACUUGAUUCACUUGCGAAACGUAAGGUGUUUGGACCUGUAGUUCCUACUCCUCCACAUGUGAAGCCCGUUGGCUACAAGUGGGUUUUCGUUCGGAAGCGUAAUGAGAAGAACGAAAUUGUACGUUACAAAGCUCGUCUUGUAGCACAAGGUUUCUCACAACGCCCCGGGAUUGACUAUGACGAAACUUACUCACCCGUUAUGGAUGUGAUUACUUUUCGAUACCUUAUCAGUUUGGUAGUUUCCGAAAAACUGGAUAUGCAACUGAUGGACGUAGUAACCGCGUAUCUCUAUGGGGAUCUUGAUACGAAAAUUUAUAUGAAAGUUCCCGAAGGACUUACAUUGACUGGUUCAAAUAUUUCCAAACCCCGGAACACGCUCUCAAUUCGGCUGAGGCGUUCACUAUACGGUUUGAAACAAUCCGGAAGAAUGUGGUAUAACCGUUUAAGUGAGUAUUUGACUAGUCAGGGAUAUGUGAAUAACGAACUAUGCCCUUGUGUGUUCAUUAAGAAGUCAAAUUCCGGAUUUGCGAUUGUUGCAGUAUAUGUUGAUGACAUGAAUCUCAUCGGAACUCCUGAAUAGCUCGCGAGAACUGCUUCGCACCUGAAGUCAGAAUUUGAGAUGAAAGAUCUAGGUAAGACUCGAUACUGUCUCGGUCUCGAGAUAGAGCAUUGUUCGGAUGGAAUCCUAGUACAUCAAUCGAACUACACCCAGAAGGUGUUGCGCCGUUUUAAUGAGGAUAAAGCGAAGCCUUCGAGUACUCCUAUGGUCGUUCGUACGCUAGAUGCAGAGCGAGAUCCCUUCCGUCCGAAGGAGGAUGAUGAAGAGAUUUUGGAGCCUGAAGUUCCUUAUCUAAGUGCGAUAGGCGCUUUAUUGUACUUAGCUCAAUGCACUAGACCCGACAUCUCCUUCGCUGUUAAUCUUUUGGCAAGAUACAGCAAUGCACCAACACGCAGACAUUGGACUGGCGUGAAAGACAUCUUCCGUUACCUUAAGGGUACUACGGAUUUGGGCUUAUUCUAUCCCUACGAAUCCUCGAGUGAUGCCGCACCCUAUGCUCAUCGGGUUGAUUCUCGCCAUGUUGGUUAUGCCGACGCUGGAUACUUAUCUGAUCCGCACAAGGCGCGUUCUCAAACGGGUUAUGUCUUUACCGUUGGAGGCACCGCAAUAUCUUGGAGGUCAACUAAACAGACCUUAGUUGCCACUUCGUCUAACCAUGCUGAAAUUCUCGCCUUACAUGAAGCAACUCGGGAAUGCUUUUGGUUGAGAGCAGUAGUGGGCCAUAUUCGAAGCUCCUGUGAUCUUCAUCCCGCCGUUAAUGCCCCGACGACGAUUUUUGAAGACAACGCAGCUUGCAUCGAACAGCUCAAGAAGGGUUACAUCAAAGGAGACAACACCAAGCAUAUUGCGCCGAAGUUCUUCUUUACACAUCAACAACAAGAGCAUCAGAAGAUUGAAGUCACGCAAAUCCGAUCACAAGACAAUCUGGCCGACCUCUUCACCAAAUCACUACCGAAGGCGACGUUUCAGAAGCUUGUUCAUGGAAUUGGUAUGCGUAAACUUUCUGAGUUGUAACUUUGCUAUUUCUCUUUGGAAUUAUGUCAAACUCAGGGGGAGUAUCUUCUAGAUACUUGCUUGAUCUUAAUGUACUCUUUUUCCCUACGAUUAGGAGCAUUUUUCCCACUGGGUUUUUGCUACCUAACUAGGUUUUAACGAGGCACCCACCUUGGGCUGGUCAUAUCCCUGAUGACGUCAUGUAGACGUUUCUUUUGACUUUGCAUUUCUCACGCAUUUUUCCUUAGACUAUGGAUUUUGUCCCUACUUGGGUUUUUGCCAUAGCCUUAGGGUUUUUUAGUGAGACUUACUACUUAUGCAAGUUCCUACCUUAUUGAGAAUAAGCGUUGUUCCUUGGAAUCAGUUCUGACGAGUCGACUUCCUCAACUUCUGCAUGAUGCUGAAUCUACCUUGAGUAUUUACCCACUCAAGGGGGAGUGUUGUAAACAUUCCUAGUUUAAGUAUGAUUGUGUAAAUCCUAGAUAAGAUUUGAUUCUAGUUAUCCUUUCCUAUUACAACUUGUAUUACUUGGAGGAGAAGAAAUAUCUUCUCUCCCUUUACUACUAUAAAUAAAGGCACAAUGUAGGAGGGAUAACAACACACACAUUCCCCUACAAUUCUACAAACACACAUCUCUCUCCUCUCUCUCUCUGCCGCCGACCCUAGUCCCUCUGUCAGAUAAAAUAGACCACAACAAAAAGUGAGUUUUUAAACUUAAACUCACUCCUUUCUUUUCUCUCCCUCCUCCCCCUCACUCCAAAUCUCUCUCUCUCUCUUUUCUUCUUUCUCUCUCCUUUUUUUUACCUUUUUCGUCUCUCCUCCAAUCCGUUCUCUUCAUUUUAUCGGUUCUUUCUCUCACUACUCAUCCUCUCUAUCUCAUCCGAUACUUUCUCUUCUCUUUCCUUCAAUUAUCUUUUACUUUCUUUCCUCCUCUUUCAUCUUUCUCCCCCUCCAGUGACCUCCUCUUUUUAGAUCUAUUUGUUUAGUUUAAAUCGCAAACCAAUCAAAUUUUUGAAUCUUAAAGAAAAUUGUUUUCAAGAAUAUUCUUAAGAAAUGUUUUGAGAAAUAAUAAAAAAUUUCAAAUAAGAUACCAAACAGGCUCUGAGCUUUCUUGGUGGUUGUUGACGAAUCCACUCCAACCACCGACUUAUUAGUUAUUACUUCACAAAUUCUUUCUUCCACAUUUACUUUCAAUUGUUCAACCACGCCGUACUAAAUUUCAACGAUCCAAACUGUCUAAGUUUUAGAUUUCUAAACAUCAUCUUUGCAAAAAAGUAUAAAACUCCGAAGUCGUUUGACCAUCUGGUUAUCUCUGUGAACAUAUAGUUCAUUUAGAACAUAUAUUUUAUAUGAUCCAAAAACAAAAGUCAUCUUCCCAUAAAUAAUGUAUCAAAAACAAGAGCUAUCAAUGAAAUGUUAUCGAACAAGAAACAAAGAAUGCAGAGUUCUUCAGUUCAUAUUAUUUUCUAAACUUAUCACCCCUCCCUAUUUUUUUUUUUCGUACUUUUGCCGAAAACAAAUCAACUUCUGAAACUAGCUACUACCACCACUACAUUGUACCAGUUUCUAUAACUUGUUUACUCGUCAAUGGAAGGACGCGCUGUGUUGGGCAGUCUCCGACCACGAACAAAUGCACUGAAGAGGUGCAGUGCUCUUGAAGGUUGAGCAUAGGGCACCAUAUGAGCAGCCCCCCUUACCGUGGCAAACGUCAACAGAUUUCCGUACUCUGUAGCCCAACCGCCCACCUAUUCGUAAAACAUGUACAGACAUUCAUAAGCAAUGUUGAAGAGAGACAAACUGUCAAACUUGAACAGCAUUACUGAAGGAAGCGCAUAAGCACCUGGCCUUUGUGAAACCAAGCUCCGUAUGGGACUGUUAUCGGGAACUUUAGGUCGUGUGCUAGUUCACGCACCAGUGUCCGAGAGCCCAAUAAUGGUACAACGGAAUCUUGAUCCCCACUGCAUUCGGUUGAAAAUCAUGUUAUGUAGCAACACUAAAAAGUUAAGAGUAGUUUAUAUUCAACUUAGCCCCUUGUACAUAAUAAGCAUAACGAAUUACCUGAAAACCCAAACGGGUAUACGGUUUUGAACUAUCCUUGUGAGCAAGGGAAGGAUGUUAAUGCUACCAUCUGUAUCGCUGUAAUUAAGAAUGCUGUACAAUACAAAAUAAAAAAUAAAAAAAGAACAUCAGUCAUAUGUAAUAAACGAGUAUAGACUACAGAUAAGUCACCAGAUUCUACUGAUGUAUAAGAAAGGUUAUAUUCACUUACCGACUGCACAUACUCCAUGGAUAAGGCAAGUUUGUACGAUUUGCAUGAAGGGCUUUCUGAACUUCGGGAAGGUUCAAAUAAAAACGUCUUUCAAACGUCAUACAUACAUCAACUCCAACACUUAUCUUAGUAGCCUGCAGAAAAGCGGAGUAAAGGAAAAACUCGUUGAAAUAAUGAAAUAACAAGUUGCUGUAAUGAGAAUGAAAGAUGAACAAGAAAAACCCAUACUAAACAAAAAAGAAGUAUAGAGGAUACCAUUUUCCGCAGUCUCAACUCUUGCUCCACUAUAGAUGGAUAACAAACAUCAAGAAUCACGUCGUAAUUGUUUAUGUACUCACCAACUAUCUGAUUGGCUUGAGAUAUUGCUUUGUUGCAUUGAUGGCUUACAUUGUGAGGAUUUCCCAAGACAUAAUCGUCAAAAUCGCAUUCGUUCAUGAUAGUAAGGCCAGUUUCAUCAGAAAUCAUUCCAUGAGACCAAAAAUAUUCAUAUGUUGCCGGAGCAUCACGAUCAAGUCUCAGCAGUGGAUUCCCAAGCUGACAGAUAACAAAUAGAAAAGUUAAAAGAGGAAGUGACAACUAUAGAGAUAGAUGAAAGCAAGGAAUUCAAAAAUAUGUGCGGUCUUCUUACAGCAACCCCUUUGAGAUUGAACUUGAAACCAGUUGAUUGUUUAUUAUGGUCCAAAAUGGCAAUAGCUAAUUGCGGUAUGUAGUGCCCUGUACAGUAAAAGUACAGAUGGUAAGAACCGAUUCUAAAUGAUAAGUCAUGUAGAUAGAUGUGCGAAAAAAAGAGUAGAAAAUAAAAGAACAACUGCAACGAUUAUAUUUAGAAAAAGGUUUGAAUAUAUUGUAAGAGUUCCAUUUCCUAGUACUCCAUAAUAGAAUUGACAUUAUAUCGGACUUUGCAGACCUGCAUAGCUUUCUCCGGUAAGAAACAACUCUCGGGAUCUGAAAGUUGGAAACUUUUCAUACCAUUUCAUCAAGAAUGUGUGCAUAUCCCUUGCUGCCAAAAUCAAAUGAAAGUGAAAAAAAAAGUUGCCGUUAAGCUUGGCUGCCAAGUUUUAUCAGAAAUAACCAAAAGCAAACAUAUAGAACAAGCACACCCUUAAAUGAGUGUAAAGAAAAGGAAGCGGAAUUAGCUAUUCACUAUACCAGUUGAGGCAUCCCCAGAGUCAUAAUCCGAACUUGUAUUCGAGUAUGACCAUCCUACUCCAGCAGGAGACUCAACAAAAAGGAGAUUUGAUGCUACAAGAGAAAAGCAAAUGGUACACCAUUUAGAUAGGAUUCCGAUUAAUAGCUGAACAGUGACACUCCGAAAAGAAGAAAAGUUGACAUGUUCGUAAAUGUUCCAUACGGAUAUACCUCUGUUCCAUGACAUUGGAUUUCUCCGGAGGCCUCUGCCGUCACCUGUUGGAUAAAAUGGACCCAGCUCGGUAAAGGCACCUCCGCCAACGGAGGAACAACCUGGACCUGAACAAAAAGUUGAUCAGCGAAUGUUAUCAACUAUUUGGUGUUUAAGACCUCACUUUCAAGAGAAUAGUAAAAGCUACAAACAUUGAGAUAAAAUUUCAAUAUGCAGAAAAGGGCAGUGUAUACAUAACAAGUUCUUUAAACAAGCAACCAUAUUCAACUAGUUUACAACAAAUGCAAAAAAAAUACUAAUAGAAAAAAAUGCAGAAGAUUUGAAUAAAAGUCCAGCUGAACACAAAGGAUUAUCAAAACCUUUGAUUCAUUAUUACAAAUAACAUGAAAGUAGCUGUUAAAUACACCCAUGAAUAACACAACAGUAUUUAACUAAUAUUUACAAUUUGCUCUCAAGAAACCCAGAAAAAGGGUGAGAGGUUACCUCCAUUGAGCCAAAGAGUGAGGGGCUUCUUGUCAGGCUGCUCAUCUGCUUCAACAAAGUAGUAAAACAAGCUCCUCCCAGCUUUCACAUCCACAUCAACAUACCCAGCAUACUGCUUGAACCCAACACUUGGCUGACCAGGCAGGCUCACCACCAGAUCCUCAGCUGGGUAUCCCUCCACUGCACCCAGCAGCACCAACCACACACACUCCAACACAAUCAAAACCCCACUAAACCAACACCUACACAUCUCCUGAAAUCCCAAAAUACUUCAGAAAUUCCAGUCCUUUUUCAAUUCCUAGUCAAUUCUCUCUUACCAAUGUGUGGGUGCUUGUGUAUAUAUGUUAUAAUCUGUAUGACAUUUGCACUCACAUACAGAUUAUACAGCCUCACUCACUCAAAAGCAUGUUUCUUUUUUUGCGAAGGAGAAGAAAAUGGUUACCCAAAAAGAGAUAAGGAGUAUAUACAGUGUGCAUGUAUUAUCCUUAUCAUAAUAAAAGUACCAACUUUAUAUUUAUGACAGGAAACGUGAAAUCUGGGCUGCUUUAACAGAGAGAUGCGUGUGUGUGUGCAUAUAUAAUUAAUGGUAAAUGCCAGAUCUGAUUUAUGAGGAUUUGGUAUAAUACAUAAAUAUAAAUGCAGCCUCUCAGGAAUCGAAUGGAGAGAAAGAGACGUUAAGGAAGGUGCAGGGAAAGCGAAGUCGGGUUGUUUAGUGUGCUUUGCAGGAGUUGCAGUCAUACUUAUGAGAGUUUUUUAGAGAGAGAGAGAGAGAGAGAGAGACGUUGGGAAGAGUGGCAUAUUGGCAUACAUAGUAAUAAUCGCAUUGGCAUUUUCGAAUUUUGAUAAGAUAAAACUAAGCAACACAGAUCACACCUACACUGUCAAACACCUCCACAUCUUAUCUGGCCUUCAUUGAUCUCCUUUGGCCAAAUUUCCAUUAUUUGCAAAUCACACAACCCAACACAUGUACAAAUUAACUCAUUUCUUACAAGGGAAUAUUUAUGUUUGUCUACUAAUUAGUGUAACUGUUAUAAUCGUUAAGCAUCGAUUUUUCAAAUGAAUAGGUCAGUUAUUCUUCAAUUGAUGGCAGUUGAUUCUUCCUAUUGAAUUAAGUGUAUUAUUAGGCUAGUGUUAUUUACACACUUACUUCUCACAAUACCCCUCUCCAUUUUCGGUCAUUGGAAUGAAUUUAAAAAGAUCAAAGGACAAAAAAUGAUAAGGGUGUGUGAGAAAUAAAAAUAAGCGUGUGAGUAGCACUAUCUUUUGUGUAAUUUGCCAUGAUAGUUACACUAUUAUAUAAAGGUGGAUAUGUCUCACAUUGUAACACACUAAGAAAUUCUCUAAUAAGAAUUUUCUCACUCUCUCAAAUUAUUUUCCUCUACAAAAUUAUUUAAAUUAUAAAAAAAAAAAACUUUUACGCACAUAUUUAGUUAUAAUUUACUUGUUCUUUUUUUUUUCCAGCGAUACUCUAUACUAAUAUACACUAAGCCUACUUCGGUAAGUGGGUAAGAAAGCUUGGUGUUGUCUUCUCCAUGUUUGGUAAGUGUAGGCUUGGGAAAUGAUUUUUUGAUUCAGGGAAAAAUGGAAAAUAGGGGGAAUGUAAAACCCUCCAUCCCCUUGGCAUUCCCUUCCCUCCUUCAUGGGAAACCAAAAAAACGCAGAUUGUCAUUUUUUAUGACAUUGACAUUAUAAAAUGCCCAUUAUAUCCUUAAGAGUAGUAUUUUCUACCCAAUUUCUCAUUGUUAGCAAACAUAGCUGGAAAUGGAAAUUAUUUCCAAUAAAUUUCUUUUCAUAUACCAAACGCAACGAAAGUAGAGGGAGAGAGUUUAAAUUUGAGAUGCAGUCAGGUGAAGAGAAAGAUCCUAAUUAUCAAGCAAUUCACUUGUAAUUAUAAUCUUAGUGGAGAACGAUUCCUAUUAUUUAUAAGGAGUCAAGUUUUCAAAUUGUAGUUAUGGCAAACCCUUGUGUACUUGCCAUUCUUUUUCAUUUUAUCAUUGAAGUAGCUUUAAAAUUGGACAUAACAUCGAAAUAGUUUAGCAAUAUAAUCAACAUAAUUUCACUCACAAAUCAAUCAAUCUGACUGAAAUAGUUAAAAAAGUACGUUAUACCAAACCAGACCAAUAAUACUACUUAAUCGCAUGAAAAAUAGGGUAAAAGUAAAACUAACAUGGUUCAUCGUGAGGGAGUUUAGGACAAUGACCCAUGAGUGAUUUCAUUGGACAAAAAAUUCAUGGUUUGAAGAGAUUUUUCAGUGUGAUCGGUGCACGGGGUAGUACACCACGUGUCACUAUACAAUUGAUGAGAUAUGUGUGCUAAAAAAUUAAUAACUUAAAAAAUAAAAUUUAUCACCAUUCCUAUUAAAACACGUGGUGUACCAUUUGUUUUCCCGUCAGAAUGAAAAAUUGAGUCUCUUUUGUGGUUAAAAUAAGCAUGGAAAGAAGACAACGUUGCCGCCAUCACUGUCCAGCCGUUUGCUCUCCCUCACGGUCAUAUUCUACUUUACUACUUUGCUUUACAGCCGACAUGAAUAUAUAUUUUAUUCAUAAAGAAAUACAAAAAAUUAUUAUCAUUUUAUUUUAUAUAAUAUAACCCAUACUCGUGGGGCUCAAUUUGAAAGAGCCAAACUUGGUCAUUCUCAAUUCUAAAUUAAUACUUUAAUUGGGGUCUGAAAAUAAAAACAUAAACAAACAAAAUUAAUCAUAUUAAGAUAAUGCAGUUUAAAGUGAAGUUUGACUACUUAAUAUAUUGUUUAGCAGUAACAUGCAGUUACGUGCAUGUACGUUCCCUAAUUGGAGGAACUCAUUAGGACUUUUCAUUUUUAUAUUCUUUUUUAUUCCACCUUAUAAAAACGUUAUCGAGGUCGAAUCAAAACCUCGAAAAUAAAAUGAAAGCUUUUUAAUAGUGUGAAUUUUAUUCCGUUUUGAGAGUUGCUAUGAUACUUGAAAAUGAUCAUUUUACACUUUUCUAAGUACAUUUUAUUUUUAUAUUUGUUGAUGCACAAAAUCGGAGAUCUUGGAAAACGUAAAUCUGACCGUGAAUCUGAAAGAAAUGUAAAUAACACAAGAUGUAUCGUGGUUCAUCCCAAGGUUUGAGUUACGUCCAUACUAAUAUGUAUUUCUCUGAGAGUAUUGUGAGAGAGAGAGAGCUCUAAAUAUGAGAGUGAGAGCUUUAAGAGGAUGAGGGAGGUUAAGGCCUAAGAGUUGGCCUACCCUAAUUGUGAGGGUGAGGAGUCCUUUUAUAGAAUAAGGGCUCCUCACUUAUUACAUAUUUAUUCAUUCCUUUAUUACAUAAUUACAUUUAAAUCUCCCUGAGUAUUUGUACGAGAUCUAAAUACGGAGGCCCUAAGUAUGGUAUAAACAAUAUUUUUACGCGUUUGAAUUUUCAAGUACAAGAUGACAUUUUUUAGUACUAAGCUCGUCUCUCCUCACUUUAAGAUUUUGUGCUCAACGUCUCUCUCUCAAAUACUUUGAGAUUUUGUGUGUAAUUUCUUCCCCCCCCCCUUGUAAUAUAAGUUUUUUUAACUAUUUUUCGUUUGAUUAUCAAUACUAUUACUGAGCUGAAACCUGCUCUGUACAAAUGUUAACCAUAAGAAAAACGAAGAGGAAAAACAAAAAAUACAAGAAAGAAAGACAUAAAAUCUGACCCUCGUGACAGAAGAAUUUGACCACUAUAGAAACAAGUGAGAAUAUAUGACAUCAAACAAACCUACCCCAGGUGAGAAAAUUGGAAACAAUAAGUUAAACAAGGAGAGUGGCGCUAGUAGAGUAGACAGGUAGACUAGCAUCUUCCAAAAGAUGCGAGUACAAGAUAAUAAUGUGUACAAGGAAGAGUUAGAGAACUGAAUUGGCCAUUGGAUUUGGAAACUCACCUCUACUUGUAUUUUCAUGUUUCUACUCUACAAAAUGGCAAUUCCACUACCUAAGUUUUAGGGUGCUCCGUAGUACGGGAUAUUUAAGUGUUUUAAUUAUUAGAUCUUAAUUUUGCAUUUUUAAACAAAAAUCUAACUGUUAAAACAUUUAGAAUAUUGAAUACUCCGACAUAAUUGUACAAAUACUUCAAUACCAUCACCUGUUGUACUUGUAGAGCAUCAAAGGAAGAAGAAAGUCAAACAAAAGAAAAAGGACGUAAGUAGGCUCUGACGAAUAGCUCGCUGACCCCUAUUUUUGCGCGGGUGGCUCGCUUAACCCCAUUUUCCGCUCAUCUAGUUUGUUCGUGGAUCCUUCCUCCUGUUGAUGGUGGAAUAUCGGCAUAUCGGCGAUGGUGGCGUAGCUGGUGUGGUGGAGUCUUCAUUCUUCCAGAUGUAAUAUUUUUGUUGUUCUGAGCUUGCUCUUUUUAGGCUUUUCUGUUUUAUUUAUUUUUGGAUUAUACUUGUAUUUGGAUUGCCUUUGGACUUUCUAUUUCUUGUAUUAGUUUUUGUUUUUUAAUUAAUGAAGGUAAUCUAAUUUGACAAAAAAAAAAAAGGCAAUGGAUGUUUCUUUUAUACCAAAAUAAGGAAAGCAUUUUAGGAUCAAAUAACUGCCUUUGUUUCAUUAGGGUUUAGGAUCAAAUAAUUGAGAUUCAUAGCAGUGCCCUGUCCACAGUAAUAUCUCCUUCCUCUAUUUGCUAUUUCAAACACAAAUUGGCAUACGACUGGAAAGCAGGACAAAUUGGAGAUCAUAACAAAGAAUUCAAAGAAAAAUAACAUAAAGAUUUGACGAUAUGUAAGCAAUGUAAAUCACUUUCGCCUAAGAAUGGCCAUGCAUUAAUCAUGAAAACUUUGGAAAAUAAGAGCUUAAUUAGGUAAAGAUCAAUAUCAAUGAGAACUUUGUGGAACUUCUAGGGUAUCCAUCGGGGAACAUGAAAUACACAAGAAAACUCGAGUUAUGCAACCUAACCACGCGCUAGAUUAGACUACUCUCACAAAAGCAUGAGACCCUUUAGGGUUUUGGUCUCACCAAGUGUGGAAGUUGCCUUAAUUAGCCAUAUGCACGUACCUUAAGUUUCUCUCAAAACUCACAAUUCAUUGUCAUAACAUGUUUUUAAUCCCCACUUAAGCUUCCUAUUCGUCGCUCUUGUUGACCUAAACACCACGGCAAGAUAUAAUAAGGGAGCUGUUAUUAACACUCCAAAUGAAGAGUGCAGAAUGACUUUUUUCAAGUGUCAAUAACAGCUCCCCAUUAAAGGCUGGAUAACUUUACUAUCACUCCUCUACUUUGCUACUUGCUUUUCAAAAUGGAUAUUUUCUAAUUUCUAUGUGCUCAAAAUAUGGAGUUUAAGAAGCCAAAGAAUAGCGCAAAAACGAUAGGCAUAAAUAAGCAAUCACGGUUUUUAUACUCUUCCACAAGCAUUCAAACAAUAAAAACCUCAACCAUAAUAUCUUAUAUACUAUCAAAACUAGGGCUGCGAAACCAAAAUAAAACAACUGUUAAAAAGCUCUUCGAGAUUGUUUCGUAUCCUUCUUGGAUUCAAUUUUAAUGUGGCUACAUUUACUAUUUUUUAAAACCAAAAAUUGGAUCUAAGAAGAAUAUCAAACAAGUCCAAAGCUACUCGCUUAUGCGCUAAUAUGCAACCAAUAGACAGAAGAAGAUAGAUUUCGUUACAAAUGUAAGCUCAAAAUGUCCAGAAAAAGGAACGAAGAGCAAAGAUGGCUACUUGAGAAAAUGAUCUUUUUUCUCUGUAUUAUUCUUAUUUAGCUACUACAACACCAUUAGAUAGCAACAGACAUUCAACUGACGUUGACACCUUGUCACACCAACAUUAGAUAAUAGACGGCCAAGUCUGAUUACAGCCUACAUAGUCCAUUGAUCCCUUCUUACUAGCUGCACGAGAGUUUCAAGUUUUUUACCAGUAGAACUCGCUCGUGUAUCCAAUAGAACAAUUAGUUUGACAUGAAUCUCGAGUUUUCCAGACUCCAGAUGAAUUAUUAGCUCUUCUUGACUUCAUCUAUGGAGAACAAGCAGUGGCAGCUAGAUCCACUAUCUCAACAUGUAAAAACAUUGAGAGAAUCAUUCUUCUUGCCUUCACUAAUAUCAAGACCAAGACAGCUCCUAUAAAAACACAAAUCAAACACAAAUCAGACAGAUGAAAGGAUCAGCUACAUUCAUCAUUGCACGUGUACAGUUCAGUUUGGUUAAGUUUCAGUGGAGAUUCUACACAUGAGAGGAAGUGCUAGUGAGCAGUCCAGUAGUGCUUCAUAUGCAUCAUUUCUCCUAAUAGCUUAACCUUUUCCUAUGUAUUGCCCCCCGCUAUAGAUUUCAGAUUGACUGCCCCCCCGCUAAGAAUUUUCAGAUCAUAUACUAGCUAUAUAUAAACUCCGCCUAUGUAAUUUUACAUUGCCGGUCCCAAGCCCGGAUAAAGGAGAAGGGAGAGGGCGUCAGGUAGUCGACAGCCGGCACUCCAUGAUCACGUCGAAUCCUUAUGAAAAUGAAUCCAGAACAAAAUCGCGCUAAAGCUAGGGCGUCACCCGUAAGUGGCGCGCUGUGUGGCCCGAGCACAGUGAUAAGUGAGCAAGGGUCGCUGUAUCUCCAUCGGCACCCGGAUGCAGUGUUAAAUGAGCAAGGGGGCCGUAGAAACUUCUUUUCGAACGACUCCACUCAAAGUUGUUUGGGAGCAUAUGCUCCUAUCAACUUUACACGGGACACACAAAAAAAGUACUUUGAUCCUAUUAGACGGGGGAGGGUGAAGAAGCUAGGACAGAAGGGUAGAGUUCAAGAGAGCAAAAUGCGUUUAGGAACGUGGAAUAUAGGAACCUUAACGGGAAAAUCUAUGGAAGUAGUGGAAGUUAUGGUGAGGAGAAGGAUAAAUAUUAUGUGCCUACAAGAAACUAAGUGGGGUUGGUAGUAAGGCAAAGGAUCUAGAAAACUCAGGGUUUAAACUUUGGUAUUCGGGCACAAAUAGAACGAGAAACGGUGUUGGCAUCAUCGUGGACAAGACCUUGACACAAGAUGUUGUAGAUGUCAAGAGGGUAGGAGAUAGAAUCAUAGCAAUCAAGAUUGUAAUAGGACAAGAACUUAUCAAUGUGAUUAGUGCGUACGCACCUCAAGUAGGGUUGGAUACGAGUUCGAAGGAGAAAUUUUGGGAAGACCUUGGAGACUUGGUGCAAGGAAUUGCUCAGACGGAGAAGUUAUUUAUAGGAGGAGAUUUAAAUAGACACGUGGGCAGGGAGACAGGCAACUAUGGAGGUUUUCAUGGUGGCCAUGGUUUUUGGGGGAGAGAAACGAGGAUGGGGAAGCUAUCUUGGAUUUUGCAAUGGCAUAUGAUCUCUUCUUAGCCAACACCUUCUUUAAGAAGAGAGAGAAGAACAAGAACAUGUGAUCACCUACAAGAGUGGGUCGUCAAAAACACAAAUAGAUUUUCUUCUAAUGAGGAAAUGGGAUCGUAUAACUUGUAAGGAUUGCAAAGUUAUACCAGGAGAGAGCGUGGCUAAUCAACAUCGCUUGUUGGUGAUGGAUGUACAUAUCAAAAGAGUGAGACAAAAGAACAAAACUUGGAAGUGCCCAAGGACUAGAUGGUGGAAUCUAAAAGAAGAAAAACAAGCCAUUUUCAAAUAGAAGGUAAUCACCCAAUGUGUGUGGGAUAGAGAGGGGGAAACUAGCCAAAUGUGGGAUUCCAUGGCUAGUUGUAUCCGAAAAGUAGCAAAAAAGGUAUUAGGAGAGUCCAAGGGCUUUGCCCCACACCAAAAGGAAUCUUGAUGGUGGAAUGAGGAGGUACAAACAAAGGUGAAGGCUAAGAAGGAAUGUUGUAAAGCCUUAUACAAGGAGAUGACCGAUGAAAAUGGUGAAAGGUAUAGAAAAGCGAAGCAAGAGGCGAAGAAAGCUGUCAGAGAAGCUAAGUUAGCGGCUUACGACGAUAUGUAUAAACGACUAGAUACCAAAGAAGGAGAGUUGGAUAUCUAUAAACUAGCUAGAGCAAGGGAAAAGAAGACAAGGGACCUAAACCAAGUGAGGUGCAUCAAGGAUGAGGAUGGAAAGGUUCUUGCUACAGAGAACGCGGUUAAAGACAGAUGGAGAGGUUAUUUUCAUAAUCUUUUCAAUGAAGGACAUGAAAUGAGUGCUUCUUUAGGAGAGUUGAGUAACUCAGAAGAGUGUAGAAACUACUCUUUUUAUCGUCGAAUCCGGAAGGAAGAAGUGAUUGUAGCUUUGAAGAAGAUGAAGCAUAGAAAAGCAAUAGGCCCAGACGAUAUAUACCAAUCGAAGUGUGGAAAGUUUUGGGAGAGACAGGUAUAACAUGGCUCACUGACCUUUUCAAUAGGAUUUUGAAAACGAAGAAGAUGCCAAAUGAGUGGCGAACGAGCACUUUGGUGCCUAUAUACAAGAAUAAGGGCGACGUACAAAAUUGCAUGAACUAUAGAGGUAUUAAGUUAAUGAGUCAUACAAUGAAGCUCUGGGAGAGAGUCAUUGAGCAUAGAUUGAGGCAAGAGACACGGGUUUCGGACAACCAAUUCGGGUUCAUGCCAGGGCGCUCAACCAUGGAGGCAAUCUCUAUCUCUUACGAAGAUUGAUGGAAAGAUAUAGAGAUGGGAAAAAGGAUUUACACAUGGUCUUUAUAGAUUUGGAAAAAGCGUAUGAUAGGGUCCCAAGAGACAUUCUUUGGAGGAUUUUAGAGAAGAAAAGAGUACGAGUAGCAUAUAUCCAAGCUAUAAAGGAUAUGUAUGAAGGAGCAAAGACUGCCGUAAGAACUCAUGAAGGACAAACCGAAAGCUUUCCCAUAACUGUAGGAUUACAUCAAGGCUCAUCCUUAAGUCCUUACCUUUUUGCAUUGGUAAUGGAUGAGUUAACAGGACAUAUCCAAGAUGAUAUUCCUUGGUGUAUGCUUUUCGCAGACGAUAUAGUGUUGAUAGAUGAAACUCAGGACGGGGUAAAUGCAAAGCUUAACCUUUGGAGAGAAGUGUUGGAAUCUAAAGGUCUUCGCCUAAGCCGAUCAAAGACAGAAUAUAUGGAGUGCAAGUUCAGUGCAAAUGGAGGCCAAAAUGAGUUAAAGGUGAGGAUCGGAGAUCAAGAAAUACCAAAGAGCGACCGUUUUCGUUACCUAGGAUCUAUCUUGCAAGAACGGAGAAUUAGAUGGAGAUCUCAACCAUAGAAUACAAGCUAGAUGGAUGAAGUGGAAGAGUGCAUCUGGCGUGUUGUGUGACCGCCGUAUGCCACUGAAGCUCAAGGGAAAAUUUUAUAGGACGGCAAUAAGGCCGGCGAUGCUGUAUGGCACAGAAUGUUGGGCGGUGAAGCAUCAACACGUACACAAAAUAGGUGUAGCGGAGAUGAGGAUGCUUCGUUGGAUGUGUGGGCACACGAGAAAGGAUAAGAUUAGGAAUGAGGAUAUCCGGGGUAAAGUAGGAGUAGCCGAAAUUGAAGGAAAGAUGAGAGAAAAUCGGUUACGGUGGUUUGAACAUGUGCAAAGAAGGCCUACUGACGCUCCGAUUAGAAGAUGCGACUAUGGGACAGAGGUUCAGGGCCGAAGGGGUAGAGGAAGACCUAGGAAAACUUUGGAAGAGACUCUAAGAAAAGACUUAGAGUACUUGGAUCUAACGAAGGACAUGACACAGGACCGAGCACAAUGGCGUUCUAAGAUUCAUAUAGCCGAUCCCACUCAGUGACUUGGAUUUUCCAAGUCUCCAACCGAGAAGUUUUCCUCACUUGGAAAAUUAAGGGAACACUACCCCAACCUACAUGCUCCACUCAGAAAGCUUCAACAUACAAGCUUCAACAAAAGAAAAUUCAAAGAACUUAGCGAAGAAGGCUUUGGUGUAUUUAACACAAUACGUUGAAAUGAAGGAAAGCUUAUUUAUUGAUAUCCCCGAUAAGCUACAAAUAUGUACAUAUACAUGAGUCAAAAUAAACAAACAAGAUGGAGCCUUCACAAAGAUUGCUUAGGAUAAGUCUCAGCAGUCGGUAGAGCCCCAGAAAGAGAAGGCAUCGGAGGGAGAUCAUUCGGAGCCUCAGUACUGGACAGAACCCUAGAAGGAGGAGGCAUCAGAGGUUGAUCAUUUGGAGCUUCAUUACGCGGUACAGCCUCAGAAGACGAAGGCAAUAAAUGCCUCUGGAACAAACCCACAAAUCUCUGAUGAUCAAGUAAAACCUGACUAUCAGUUUCCUUCAUCUGGUCAAGCUUCCUCUUCAUGUUUGUAGCAUAGUCAUGUGCGAGCCGGUGCAACUGUUUAUUCUCAUGCUUGAGCCCUCUAAUCUCCUGUUUGAGACUCAUCACUUCGGCCGCCAAUGAUUCAACUUGGCGGGUUCGAGCAAAUAGGCGUUGGGCCAUGUUAGACACAGAACCUGCACACUGAACACUGAGAGCCAGCGAAUCCUUAACAACUAACUCAUCAGACCGUUUGGAAAGUAGUCUAUUAUCUUUGGGAGUGAGAAGGUUCAUGGCCACCACCGCAGCGGUCAUAUCAUUCUUCAUCACGGAAUCUCCAACGGUAAGAGGACCAGUAGGGGAAACGAAGGAUGGGCGCCAUAUGUUGUCUGGAGAAGGCGGGGCUGCCUCUUCAACAAGGUUCAAGUCAAAACGACGGUCGGAGGGGCCAGACAUUUUCAAAGGUGUUGAAGAGAAAAGAGGUCGGACAAAUCAAGAUCUUAGAAGUGCAAGAAUGGAGCUUCUACUGGUGGAGAUUCAAGUGUGCUUUGGAACUUAAUGACAGCCCCUAUAAAAAGCUGCACUCGACGGAGCUUCAGACAUCGAAGAGGCGCCUGCUCAGAAAUCGAAGAGGCGUUUGCUUUCUCAAAAGCUGGGCUGCUUAGAGACCACGAGGGUUGAUCUCAUAAAUCGAAGAGGUGUUUGCUUUCUCAAAAAUUGGGCUGUUCAAAGACCACGAAAGCCGAUCUCAGAAAUCGAAGAGGCGCUCGCUUUCUCAAAAGCUGGGCUCCUCAGAGACCACGAGGGCCGAUCUCAGAAAUCAAAGAGGCACCUACUUUUCCAGCCUUGUCAGCACCUGUCACACGCACACUCAGCUUUGCGGAAAUUAUGGGUAUUCUGUCGAAGAUUUCUGGGGAAGUAGAAAAUACAUGAAUCUUACUGUCCAAUCACCCAUUUCCCACACGCAACAAUAGCUCAUGGGUACCACAGAUAACUUUGCCAAAGUUCUCUGCCAAAGUUGAGCACGUGAAGCUUGCAGCUCCCACUACAUCGCUCUGACCAAGAAGGGUAAAAGAAUAGCAAAGAAACAGCACUAACAAAGUUUAGACCCAUAAAUUUUGAAGGUCUAGCUACCAUAUUAUUACCCACAAGGGUAAAGGAACAGUACCACUGCUGGAUAAUUGGAAAGUCCCUGUGUGUCAACCUCUGUGCCUCGUGGCAAGGUAGACUAGCAAACAUGCCCAACCUUUACUCACAUUCGAGAAAACACUCCCAAUAAGAUUGCUUGCUCCAAAAUCGAAGAGGCACCGUCCUCCGAAUCUCGAGAGCCAGACUCCCAACAUGACUACUUUCUCAAAAAUCGAAGAGAGGGUAAAGGAACAGUACCAUUGCUGGAUAAUUGGAAAGUCCCUGUGUGUCAACCUCUGUGCUUCGUGGCAAGGUAGACUAGCAAACAUGCCCAACCUUUACUCACAUUCGAGAAAACAUUCCCACCAAGAUUGCUUGCUCCAAAAUCGAAGAGGCACCGCCCUCCGAAUCUCGAGAGCCAGACUCCCAACAUGAUUACUUUCUCAAAAAUCGAAAAGACACUGCUCCCCGAAUCUCGAGAGCCAGACCCUCAGCAUGAUUGCUUUCUCAAAAAUCGAAGAGGCAUUAUUCUCCGAAUCAAUCGAAGAGGCGCUCUCUUUCUCAAAAGCUGGGCUGCUCAGAGACCACGAGGGCCGAUCUCAGAAAUCGAAGAGGCACCUACUUUUCUAGCCUUGUCAGAACCUGUCACACGCACACUCAGCUUUGCGGAAAUUAUGGGCAUUUUGUCGAAGACUUCUGGUGAAGUAGAAAGCACAUGAAUCUUACUGUUCAAUCACCCACUUCCCACACGCAACAAUAGCUCAUGGGUACCAUAUAUAACUUUGCCAAAGUUGAGCACGUGAAGCUUGCAGCUCCCACUACAUCGUUCUGACCAAGAAAGGUAAAAGAAUAGCAAAAAAACAGCACUAACAAAGUUUAGACACAUAAAUUUUGAAGGUCUAGCUACCAUAUUAUUACCCACAAGGGUAAAGGAACAGUACCACUGCUGGAUAAUUGGAAAGUCCCUAUGUGUCAACCUCCGUGCUUCGUGGCAAGGUAGACUAGCAAAUAUGCCCAACCUUUACUCACAUCCGAGAAAACACUCCCAACAAGAUUGCUUACUCCAAAAUCGAAGAGGCACCGCCCUCCGAAUCUCGAGAGCCAGACUCCCAACAUGAUUACUUUCUCAAAAAUCGAAGAGACACUGCUCCCCGAAUCUCGAGAGCCAGACCCCCAGCAUGAUUGCUUUCUCAAAAAUCGAAGAAGCAUCGUUCUCCGAAUCUCGAGAGCCAGAUACCACAUACCACUUUUUCAAAGUGCUCUGACAGAGUUAAAACAUGUGAAGCUGGCAGCUCCCACUACCGUGCUAUGACCAAGCAGGGUAAAGGAAUAACAUUACUACUUGUUGUUAGGGAGACUCCUAUAUAUGUCGACCUCCAUCCCCAACGGACAGGCAGACCUGCAAAAAUGCUCAACCCUUCCUCAUAUCUGAGAGGGCACUCCCAACGAAACCUUUCGAAAUAUUCAGCUUUCUUUCCCCCCGAUAAUACCUCUGCAAACAAGCUAUACUAGAGCAAGAAUAUCUCAUAUCAUCAGGGUUAAAAGCAAGAGUAUCCCAUAUCAUGCUUUUUCCCUGUCUUUUCCUUUGGCCUUGUUUUUACCUGCAAGACAAGGAGAAAAAGAGCAAUCAGUCAGCACUUGAAAUCAAGCUCCCAGCCAGAAACUGACUGCCUGGAACCCCUUACCUGAUUACUUACCUGGCAUUGCUCUCGAGUACUCAUCUUCAACAUCUUAUGUUUCCAGGGAAGAUAUCGCAUCUGCUUGAGGAACAGAUAGGGCAAGUGCGAAGGAUACAAGGAAGCAUGUGGAGACAAGCGUAACAACACACGUGCCGAUACAUCCAUUACUCUGUCAAAAGAAAAAGUAUCCCAUAUCAGCAUAUCAGCAGGUCGGUCGAACGUACUCUAGAUUUGAUGGACUUGUUUUGACCUUCAAAUUCUUCAGUCGGCCUUAUACUCUGGAGGAAACCAGAAAACCCUCCAGCUCAGUUCAAGAAUAAGCCUGUGGAAAGUUACUUCUUCAAAAAGCAAAAAGUAUCCCAUAUCAUCUCUUCUCAUUUUUCUUCUCUUUAUCCUUCAUUGCUGCUGCUGCAAGAUGGGGAGAAGGUGAACAAUCAGCCGGAACUCUGAUUGCUUACCUUGUCUGUCACCUCUUUCAGCAGAUCCCCUAGCUCGGCGACUUGGGGGACUCCUACUACAUGGUUUGUAUCGCGCUGGACCAAGCCUGAAACUACAAGUAAGCUUCAAGUGAAAUUGAUACAUUACCUUGUGCAUCUCCACCAGUUAAAGAUACCACCCCUGGAUGGAGGAAGAGUACUUCCAGAGAAGCUGCCACAUCAACCUAUGAGACAGAUAAGGCAAGUCAAGAUGAUACCACACUCCGAUACUUAGAAGUUUCGUGAUUACGAGAUCAUUCUCCCACAAUAUUUCCUAAUGUCAUUUGUACUCUAAUGUCAUUUGUACUAAAUCAUUCACUGGUACUCAUUAAAGGAGAGCUUGAACCUAUGUACUUGUGUAAACCCUUCACAAUUAAUGAGAACUCUUCUAUUCCGUGGACGUAGCCAAUCUGGGUGAACCACGUAUAUCUUGUGUUUGCUUUCCUAUCUCUAUCCAUUUAUAUACUUAUCCACACUAAUGACCGGAGCAAUCUAGCGAAGAUCACAAAAACGACCGUUUUCGCUACCUAGGAUCUAUCCUGCAAGAGAACGGAGAAUUAGAUGGAGAUCUCAACCAUAGAAUACAAAAUUCCUCCAGGUACUGAUAUCAAAAUCAACAUACCCUGCAUGCUGCCUGAACCUGGUUAACAUCUCUCUCUCUCUCUCUCUCUCUCUCUCUAGCAAAGUUGCAGAAUACUACUGGGAUCUUAAUUCUGCUUGCAAUCUCUCUGAGAGAGAGGCCUUGGGAAGUUCCAUGCGUAGCGUUACAUUAUUACCACUGGGAUAUUCUCUCAUUCUUCUUCAUUAAAGUCGCCAUCACACAAAAGCCCCUUCUUGAGUACUAUGCUGUGGAUUUGCCUUCCCAGUGUUAACAUCACAGACCCACUACAUGCAUCUAAAAGGAUUGAAAACGUAAUUUCAGUUGGAUUCAAUCCUAUGUCCUGCAUCUCAUGAAGCAAAUUUACUGCUUCUUCCAAGUUGCUAUAACCAAAACCAGCAAUUAGAGCAUUCACGGAGACUACACUCCAGUGGGGCAUAUAGUAGAAAGCUUUACGUGUAUCCUCAAUGACCCCACAUUUGGAAUACAUGUCAAUAAGGGAACUACCAGAAUAAAGGCUUGUUUCCAGACCAUUUUUAACUGAGAGACUGUGGACUUGUUGUCCGUAUCAUGAACUAGCAAGCCACAGUCUAGAGCAGCUAAACUAGCAAUUGCGCUUAAAACACUUCCUAGUGUGGAUCUUGUCGGUUUUUCACCAGCUUUCCUCAUUCUCAAGAAAAAGUUAACAGCUUCCUCCUCACUGCCUCUCUUGGCAUGCCCAGAAAUCAUCACAUUCUACGCUACAACAUUAGGACUGGGCAUCUGGGAAAACAACUCACAUGCAUCAUCUAGCCUACCUAGACCAACACACGCAUUUAUGACAGUCACAAAACCUACCUGGUCCAGAAAACCGCCAACUCUGUGCAUCUCCUUAAACACUUUAAGUGCCUCCUCAAGCAAGCCAGCUUAAGCAUACCCUGAAAUCAUUGUUGUCCAAGCCACUGUAUCCAACUCCAACACACCAUCAAAUAUCUGUCGAGCAUCACUUAUACAAUUGCCUUUGGCAUACAUAUCAAUGAGUGCACCUUCACAAAAUGAACUCAACUCAAACCCCAUUUUAAUAACACCACAAUGAACUUGCCUACCAUAUUCAACAUCCACCAAUCUUGCACAAGCAGACAAAACCAUUGCAAAAGUGAACUCGUUCGGCAUUACCCUGUCAUUCCACAUCGACCCGAACAACUUAACAACCUGUUCGACCAAUCCCUUACUUGAAUACAUUGACAAAACCGAGUUCCAAGCAAACACAUCCUUGCUUUCAAGGCAGUUAAAUGCCUUCUUGGCACAUCCCACAUUACUACACUUAGCAUAAAAACCCAGAAUGGCAUUUCCCAGAAACCCUUUGGACGCAAUCCCAAUUUUCAAGCUGCGGGCGUGGAUAGUCUUGCAGGUUCUGGAAGCAUGAGCCAGCAGCCUCUCAGGCAUUUCGUCGAACACCUUGUGGGCUUUGAUAUACUUGCAUUGCUGCAGACACAUCUGCAAGAGGUGGGUGUAAUGGGAGUCAGCGGCUCCAUCUUGGCAGACCGACUCGGACGGAAAAGUCGAGAGGCUCUGCUUUCGGUGGAAGGAGUGUAAGGCUUUGGAGGGAGGAGGUCUGAGACGCAUUGACUCAUGACACAGUGGUGCCAGCCAUAACCGAGACGGGUGCGACGUCGUUCAGUGUUGGCUUCAAAAGAGCGCGCCAAAUAAGAACGUCGGUGGGCUCAACCAAUCACUCCCUCCAGGAGCCCAACUUCUGUUUAUAAAAGCAAGCCCAUCUUCUUUCUCUAAUUUUAUGGGCAUGAGGAGAGGGGAUAGAUCCUCGCCGGAUCUUUUCCUAGAGAUAUAGUGAUCUCAUUCAUUCAUCGUAUAUCGUGCGGUCAGAAAUCAUUUCAAAAUUUAAAAUUAAAUAUGAAUAGUACCUAACAAAAACUAACCGCAUGAUAUACGAACGAAUGAGAUCACGGGAUCCCUAGAAAAUAGAUCCGGCGAGGAUCCUUUUCCUAUGGAGAGAAAUGCGGGAGAGAGGAGAGAGAGAAAACGCAGGAUUUAGAGAGAGAUGUGGUGUGAAUCUUUGAUGACAUGUGCGUGAGGAAAAAAAAAAGCUGUAAAAACUUUCAUGUGCAAAUUACCUUAAUGUUCAUGGUUUUAAUUUUCUAAUAUUUGUAGAGAGUUACUAAACUCAGCUCAUUGUCUUAUUUUUCCACCCACGUUAUAAUCUCACCCACCUUAAAAAGUUAAAAAAUUAAAAUGAUAUUUCCCCACCCACUAUUAUUCCCAAAAUAACCUUUAAUAUAUACAUACAUAUGAAAUUAUAAAAUUGUCUCUUAAAAAAUAUAACAAAUAAUAUGUAAAUAAAAACUACUAAGUUCUGCAAAUUCAAAUGGAAGAUAGAGGUAUCCAAAUUCAAAAGAAUUCAAUAACGACAAAUUCAAAAAUACGAUAGAUAAAUUCAAAUGACCUACACACAAAAAUUAUUCUUCUACAUUUUCAAUGCAAACAUAAUCUUCUACCUCUUCCGUAGAAGCGUCACUUCCACCUGGUAAAUGAAAAAGUCAUUUUCUAAAUCCAUUGAUAUUUUUUUACUUCCUCUAAAUGAAAGGAGAUGAAAAUAUAAGGGUUAAAUGAAAAGGUCAUUUUCUAAAUCCAUCGAUAUUUUUUUCACUUCCUCUGAAUGAAAGGAGAUGAAAAUAUAAGCCCAACCGUUUAAAAAAAAAAAAUUAAGCAAAACAAGAUAAUUAAUGUCCAAAUUUAUAAUUAAAAAAUUCAUUAAAAGGUGGGUGAAAAUAUAAGACAUUAGGGUAGGAAUAACAUCACACUAUUUUUAUUGAAUUGUGAUUAAAAGACUAAAUCAUCUCUUCAUCAUCUUUUGAUUAAUUUUUGUCAAUAAAUAGUAUAAAUACACAACCAUGAUGAUAUUCUAAACAUGAAAAGGGGGAUGUGAGAGGGAAGUGACUUCUACAAGAAGCAGAGGGCUCUCUUUUAGAGCAAAUAUCCUUUGUUUGAUAAGACGAUAUUCUAAACUACCGUAAUCUAAUUGGAGGGAGUUUCAAAUUUGAAUUCGAGGGACUACAAAGGUAAAGAAUUAUGCCAAUAGUUCUGAAAAUUUGGAACAAGAGAGGCACUAGCAAACUUAUAAAACAAACCAAUGCCGCCUGGAUGGAAAAGUUGGUAUAGUGAAAUACGAGAACAAAAUUUUACAAAAAAAAUUUCUCACAUUCGUAUCGAUUUAUGUCAUCGUGACGGUAUUCAAGUAUGAAAGAAGAAAACAGGUCACGAAGGAGUGACCGAUCAAGUAGUGAGUGCCGGUAGUGUGGGAGUAACAAUUGCGUUAUCUGUCCAAUUUUUUUCACCCCAGUGCCGUAACAUGUUCUUCCAGGAGCAGAACUCCUCGUUGCACGUCUUCAAACGCUUGUCUUCGAUCUUAAUUUUCCAGUGACCAUCCGUGUAAUUUGCUUUCUCCGCUUGCCUCCGAUCCCACUCUAGUCCCGCCUUUUGCUCUGUCCGAAGCAAACAGAACUUUUGCAAGUUUCCUGGCAUAGCAUCGUGCACUUUCCACCACGUUUUAUGCGCAACAUCACUCGCAAACUCCUGCAUGAAAUCCACGUUCCAAUUGCAGUCAUAGUCGCGGAAGCAAAGCCACGGUUUGUUACCAAGGUAAUGGAGGACAUAGAGCAUUGGAGGGUCAGCUUGAAAGAGGUGCGUUUUCAUUUGCUUUAUCUCCGGCUCAUCACCUUCCCAGAAAUGUUUCAAGAAGUUCAUGUGUUUCGGAAUCCUGUGCCACCAUGUAUAUACCUCAUUCAGAUACCCCUGGUCACCACCGUUGUAGGAUACAAUUUCGUUGAUAUGGUCCAUGAGCAGCCGGAAUGUACAAUUUGAGGGUUCGACAACCAUCACACCUGAGUUGAACAAAGUAGCAUUAUUUCCUGUAGCUGAUAUUUCUGGCAUCUGAAACAGGAAAUCGAUAUUCCUGAGUAUAAGCAUGUCAGCGUCAAUGAAAAUGAUCUUGUCGUAAUCAGUCAACUGCCAAAGACGGAACUUGCUGUAGUUCCAUUCGUUGUAAGCUUCUGCUUCAGCCUUAGGGUUCCUGAUUCUUUGGAUUGUGUGGAUCUUCCACCCUGCAGCCGCCAGUCCUCCUCGAUGAUACUGAGUGAUUGUUUCAUCGACCAGUAUCACAAGAUCUCGUGUUGAACCAGCCAUACGGAUGCUUUGAGCUGCAGCAAUGGCUCCACAAACAUAUACAUCUGCAGAGUGUAGGAUCGUUGCAUAUGCUUCUCGGUUGGGUCUUUUCGAGUCAAAAUCUUCUGUGUACAAACAUGUAUCUGAUCAGUUUUCAAGUAUACUGCAGUUACAAAUUCAGCAAAAUUUCAAAGUAACCAUGAACUACACUUGCUUUCUUGUGGGAUGCACUUAAUUAAGUAAUCCAUUCAGAAUGAGCUCAACUCCACAUUUUUGCAGGAUUCGGAAACACUUGAGUUUCGGAAAGUUAAAAGCAAAAACAGAAAAAGCAAUGGAAGAGAGGUAUACCAAAAGCUAUCAUUGCGACAAAACAACUCAAAAGAAAAUUCAAACUUUGAAACAGGAGAAUUUAAAAAAGCAACACAAGACACUGUUUUAAAUCUUACCUUUAGCCUUGAGAGGAAGUGCAAGCUCACAUGAUCCUACAGGGAGCUGUAACUUCUCUCUCAAGGUAUUAAGUUUCGGUUCAUAGAGCCAUGCGUUCCCUUCAUGUCUAACAAGAUCUUUGCAAGUGAAUAAAUUUGGGAUGGGAAAGCAGUCGGUCACCAAAAGUACAUGCACCGGGUGAUAUCCUUGGGACAAGGCCGCCAGCCUUGCUGCUUCAAGCUGCAAGUGCAAACGAGCCACUUCUCUUGACCAGCUGCCUGACUUGUUGCAGGGAAGCUUGACAGCAACCAGAUCGAACGGUGAGCUUUCAGGAAUUUGAAUCUUUGGUAGAGAGGGACAAGCAGGAACUUCGGAUUCUUGUUCUUCGUCUAUCCAUUCAGGAUACAAGGAUUCCCAUGUUACGUUGUUUGGCGCAUAGUUGAGAUGCAGAACAACCUGCUCAGAAUCUGGAAAGAGCUCCUUCCAAUUGUCAAUCUCGUUGUCAUUAAAGUUUAACAGGCCAAUUCUCCGAUAAUCAUUUUUGUGAGUGAGUUUUUCAACAAAAUCCAAAAUUUCAUUCCAGUUUAUCUGUAAAGAUGAUACAUAACGUAAAUCUGCAGGAACGCUCAUUCUCAUCCAUCUGCGUUGAGAAGUUAGCCUGCAGCCAAUAAACUUGUGUUACAACUAUUGCCACCGGAGAGAGAUAGAAAGAAACCAAAGAAGAACAAAAGGCAAUGCCCUUUUGCCUGUUAAUUACGAACAAUACAUUUUCCCCGGAAGAGGAAAAGUGUAACCUUCAAAAGCCUCAACAUCAGAAAAGAGACAAAUGUUGAAGCAAGAAAAUACCUAAUUAUGAGUAAACAAAUACCACAAAAUAAGAAGUGAAAGCAAGGUGAUCAGCGCAUAGGACGUACUGAGAUACAGAGCUGGAGAGGUGAUCUGUAUUAUAAACAGCAGAAGAGAGGAAGAGCGUCACAAAAGUCCCGAAUACGAGAACGAUCAACACCAGUUUCAAGGUAGGCUUGCAGUUUAAGAUUCUUUCUUGAGCAUGAAGGUGGAGGGCCUUUUCAAUAUCUUUAAGAACUUUGUUUCUCUGGGGCCUUCUUUUGUUGGUGUCUUCACUGAAACACAAAGGGGAUUCAUAACAACAUGAGCACAUUCUAAAUGGCAAGCGAAAGAUAGUACGAAGAGCAACAAAUGGAAUUGAAAAAACUAUUUAUAGCAGUAAACAAUUGGAUGCCACCGGAAACAAGUUCCGCUCAGAAUUCUACUCAGAAAGACAAAAAAAAAUUCCGCAAUCAACUCCACCGUACGAAAUACAUUGCACUUUGCACAUUGACAUGCAGAAACAACACAAAUAUGAAUGUUCUACGUUCCAUUCAGCACAUUACAAUUAGAAGUGCUCACAUCAUUUGCAAAAACUAGAUCCCGAAACUUCGAUUUUGAAAUCUCAAAUGCACCAUGAUCAUUGACCAUGACAAAGUAGCUAAAUCCCCGGAAUAGUAGUUCCUCUCCAAAACAUUUCGGACUUUAUCAAACACUACUCACAGAGCUGCAUAAUACAUAAGCUGCACGAUUUUAACAUUUUCUUUUCUGACGAUGCUACCAUACACAUCUUAAAACAGUGUAAAUUGGGCCUAAUUAUUAGCAAGACUUUACACUUAAUCAUAACAAGUACAAUAUCCAUCAUAAAAUCUUCUACACAACUGUUCAUCCUUAUCCAAGGCCAAAAUUUAGUGCCGAAAAAAGAAAACUCUACCCAAUUAAAAAAAUCUAGUUUCGUCUCUUGAUCUGUAUACACUAUACAUUCACAUAUAUGUAACAAAAAAAAAAGAAAAACCAUCUAGUGAAGUGGUAAAUCAACAAAACAAUCAAUAGCUUAUGUCAUCAGUAGUGAGUUGAUAUCAUUAUCGCCAACAAAACAUAUCAACAUGUUCUUGAUACAGUUUCGAGUUCCUUCUUGCAAAGGGAUUUCUUACUUACAUGUUUAUUAUUCUAAACUAUGGAACUAAAAUAUCAAACACUCCUAUCAAAAUGAAGUCAUUAAUUAAUCACUAGGAAAAUGUAAAUUUGAAUUGGAGAGAGAGAGAGAGAGAGAGAGAGAGAGAGAGGGAGACUGACUAAGGUGGUGAAGAAAGGCGGUGUCUGGGUUCAAUGGGAGUAGUAGUAGGGGAGUGACCUCUCAUCUUUUCUGCUGAUUCAACUCAACCAUUUCAUCUUUUGAUAUAUAAAUACACUAUAUGUACAUAUAAAAGAAACAAUGAAAUUCAAAGCAGAAGAAAGACUUGCAAAAAGCGGAUUUGCAGUCGUUAUAAGAGCUCUGUUGUGUGAUGGGAUGGCAGUGAGUUUGGUCGGCCGAGACAGCUGAGUCACUGAGAGACAGACGAGGUCACGAGACGGUUGGUCAAUUCGUGGAACUUGCUUUGGCUUUGCCUCGGGUUGGUCAUCCUAUUCUGGUUUUUGGUACACACCUUUUUCGGUCUUAUUCAAUCCUCAUCUGUGCCAAAGUUUUUACGCGAAGUUUUUCAUUUGUUUUGCCUCUCUUUCUCUCUCUCUCUCUCUCUCUCUCCCCAUGUUGGAAGACCUUUUACGCAAUAAUGAUUAAUCAUGAAGAAGAGUAGGCUCAAAUAUAAAGCAAACCUACUCCGCAAACAGUCAACAACAAUUCUUAUCUCAUUGUUAUAACAUUAAAAAAAUUUGGCUGAUUAGAAGCUUCUUUAUCGCGUUAUUAGUUCAUCUAUUAUAUUUAUAUUACAUGAACUUAAUUUUGUAAUCGAAGUACAAGAGAUCUCUCUUAUACGUAUCUUGAGCCAAAAAAGUGAUGUGGCACUAAAGCAAAGACGGCCUGAAGGCAAGUUAAAUAAAAUUUGUGCUUAUUUAAUACAUUAUUGAAUUGAGAGUCACAAAUAAUAAGAAAGCCGAUGCAUAUAAGUGUUGUUGUAAGCAUGGGUACAGCUAAAUAAGGGCGAGGAGGGGCGGCCGCCCCUUCCUAAGCCGAAAUCAAGCCCAGGACCUGUGGUUCCUCCCUUUUGGUCUCAUCUGGUUUUCUGGUGUUCUGGGUUUCCUGCGCGCAGACUCUCUCUCUUCUUUUUUUUCCUCUCAAAAUACCCAAACUUUGCAUUUGCAGCUACUGAAAAGUAACGAAGAAGAAGGGUGAGAGGAAGAAGAUAGAUUUUCUCUCUCACCCACCCCACACCACCUCAUGUGCCGUUUCAAAGUUACCCACUUUGAUUUGGUUUUUCAACUAUUGUACUCAAUCAGUUUGGGCCACAUAGCUAGCUAUUUAAUGUGCUGAUUAUAUUGAGAUUUGUUUUGUUUUUUAAUUAUUGAUUGAUUAAUUUGCCUACUUUUUCAAUAUUUUUAGACACAUUUUUGACACUAUUAUUUAUCUUCAAAUUUAUUAUAAAUUCAUAUGAACUUUAAAAAAAUAUUUUGUAAAGUAUUACGAAUUUGUAAUCAUUUGAAUUUUUAUCUCCUACUGCCAAAUGCAACAAAGUAAUAAAAAAAUUUGUCAAUAUUUUUAUAUAUUAUAUGUUUUAUAUAGUCAAUGUUCUUAGAUAUUAUAUGUAUAUUAUAAAUAGAAACUUAUUUACAAUACAUAAUAAAUUUGUUCAAAUUUGCCUAAAUCAGGUCAUGUCCAAUUCCUACUUCGAAUAUUUUAGUGCAAAUUCUCCUACAAUAUUCCGGGUAGUUCACAUUUUUUUCGGAACCUUGAACAGUUUAACUUUCCCACCUCCUCCGGACAAUUUCUGUCUUCGCCGUUGAUUGCAUGCAUAUCAUUCCUUCAUUUUGGUCAGAAAUCUUAUUUAAUUCCAUGCCAUCCCUCUGACCAAACAGAAGCCAUGUGUCGUUCUUUCAUCUGGCUUUAAGCAUUUUUAACAUUACUUUCCAAGCCACGUCAGUUAGGUUAUGUUGUCACUAUCAAUUUUCUUGGUAACAUUACUAUUUUUGUUGUUGUUGUGGCGCCACAAAGCCUCUCCAAAUUAUGUGGAAAAAAAGAAGAGAAAAAAUGGCAUGUUUAAAUAAUUUUGUGGUGCAUAAGUAUCAAGUUUACUUCGGGUGUAUAGGAUCGACUUGAAUUGGUUAACUAAAUAAAUUUAGGGAGGUGUUUUCUCUACACCUAUUUUUACCUGUUACAUACUCUUCUUAGUUAUCGAUAGUCGGAACGAAUGAAUUGAAGAAAAUCAAUGGACAAAAAUUAAUAUAAGUGUGUAAAAAGUAAAAAGAAGUGUGUGAAUAGCCUUACCCUAAAUUUAAUGUACUGAAGUGAAUGGAAGCAAACUUUUAAAUUUUGGCCAAGCUUAAACUAUGAAGAAUUUAGUAAGAUAUCUUAUUCAAGAAACUUUAAACGCCAAUUAUAACACAUAAAUGCAUUUAAAUGGACCAGAAUAGCGUGAUGUCCUAAUACACCUCAAAUAGAAAGGACUACAUUAGGUAGAAUAUCACUCAAUUCAAAAAAUAAUUAUAAAACAUUGUAGACGUGCUUAUAAAAUAAAAUAGACAGCUAAUCUGUAUGUCGACUCUUUCCUAAUUUUUGGUUAAAAUCAUCUGCAUAUUCAUUAGCAUUUCUCAGAUAAGCAUUCCGAGGCUUAUCAAAUUUUAGAAGGCCUUACCUUAAUCUGACCUUAAAUAUUAUUAGACUAAUAAGUUCUCAUUAACUAAUGGCUCGUUAAAGUGAGUGUUUUAAAAAAACAAAACAAAAAACAAUGGUGAUGGUGAUGUGAUAGACACUUAACACUAAAGGGGUAUGUUAUCCACACACCUCAUUUUACUUCUCACACACCAUUUGAUAAUUUCUGUCCGUUGAUCUCCUUCAAUUCAUCCGAUCCGACGGUCGAAAAUUAAAAAGGUGUAAGAGAAGUAAAAUGAGGUGUGUGGAUAUCACAGCCAAAUACUAAAUUAUUUUAAUAAGCUUUGUUUGGUAUAUGGUUUAUGUUAAUUGGCAGUGGGAUUAGAUGAACCUAGCCACUCACACCCAUUCUUGUUAAUUACCUAUGUUUGGUAUAUGGUUUAUCCAUGUUAACUAAUUAAUGACAUCUUACCCUAAACAACCAAGCUUUGUCUUUUAUUUUCAUUUUUAUUCAUUUCUUUAUUUUGGGAAUAUGUGGGGUUGGUAUUAUUUUAACCUUUUAUUAUUGCUUAUUAGUGCAGUAGGUGAUCCAUCAAUAAUUGUGGUCAAGAAAGUUAAGGAAAGUUCCAAAAAGAAGUUUCAAAAAAUCAAAUGAUUUUAGGAAUGAAUCAUGGCAAACUUUUGAUUCAUCAACAACUGUGGCAUGUUUACGUAAGGGUAAUCAGAAUAAAGAAAGAGAAUUAAAUUCUAAUUACGGAGUAUUUCGGUGUUUAUUAAAUAUUAAGGAAUCAAAAAAGUGGUGGAGCCCACACGAAACAAGGAAUCCAAUUCCUGAAAUUGGAGGAAUGGGAUUCCCUAGUUUUGUGAGGUAUUUGCAUUCCCUGAGGGCAAGGGAAUCGGGAAUGCAUCUUUUAUUCCAAAUAUGCCCUCACUUGUUUCUUAUUAUCCCAACAUUGCCCUUCAUUUGACACUCAUUAUGUCAUUUUUAAUAAAUAAAUAAAACCUAUUUAUAUAUUUUUAUAUAGAUAAUUUUAUUAUAUAAAUUUAAUUAAGAAUUUAAUUUAAUUAAUUAGUAUGAAAAUAAUUUAUUUAUGUAUGGGCAAUUUAGUCAUCAACUUAGUUUUCAUUCCGAUUGAAGUGAAUUAGUAAACAACUUAUAUGGACUCAAUAUCAUUCUUGCCAUCUUUUAAUACAUAAAUAAAACCUAUUUACACAUGCUUAUAUAGAUGAAUUUUAUUAUAUAAAUUUAAUUAAGAAUUUAAUUUAAUUAAUUAGUAUGAAAAUAAUUUAUUUAUGUAAUGGGCAAUAUAGUAAUCAACCUAGUUUUCAUUCCGAUUGAAAUGAAUUAGUAAACAACUUAUAUGGACUCAACAUCAUUCCUACUCCGAUUCUUGACAAUUUUAGUAAACAACUUCAACAUGAAUCUGAUUCUGAUUCCACUUCAUUUCAAUUCCUCCUCAAUCAAAUUCCCCCUCAAUCCAAUUCCUCUCAAUUUGAUUACGGAUUAGUAAACGUGCCCUAAAAGAGAGAAAUAUUUUUGGUAGGUUAUAUUACACCCAUCAUAUGGAGAAUUUCUUAGACUAGAUUUAUUGGCAGAGCUACAAUUUAUAGUUGGGAGAGCUUACGGAUUUACAAUAAAUAUCGUGAACAAAACUAAGAAAAUGGUAGUGUAUUAGUUUUUAUAUGGAGAAAUUUUUAGGUUAAAUUCAGAGCAUAUCACGAUGAUAGGAUAAUACUAAGAGCAUCUUCACCGGUUGAUGAAAGGUAAGAGCAAAGGCACAAAAGAUGCCUUCUAACCCAAAAAGCAACAUUCACUCGUCCAAAUUUGCAGGGGCAACUGGUGGGCCAUACAAAACCUGUCUAAAUGAAUGAGCAAGAUGGGGCAGCCUUUUGCCAGCAAGCUGGCUGACGUCAGCCACAUGAGAAUUUUUUUUUUGUUAGGCGCGUGUAACACAUGUGAGAAGGAGAGUGUCUGACAACAAUUCAACAGCAGACAACCUAAUGGCUAGUUGAUAUUGCUUCUUGAGGGUCCUUGGAUUAUCAACGGCCAGAUAAUCUGGACCGUGGGAUUUCCAACAAUAAAAAAUUUGAAAUGCCGAGUAGGACAUGUGGCGCGUUGUAGUGUGUUCGAUUUUAGAUCGGUUUGAAAAUCAAUGAUAAAAAAUAGAAAAUAAAGCAGAACAAUAGAAAAAAAAUAGAAAAAAAAUAGAAAAAAUAUGCUGUCACAAUCUCUAACAACCCAUCUUGGUAAUUUCCCAUCACAACUCUAUUCAUUUUUACUACAAUCUUCUAUAUUUCCACUUUUCAAAUUCUUUAAAAAAAAUAAUAAUAAUAAUUAUGCUUGUUGUAACAUCAAGCUUUUCCUUUGUAUUUGAAAUAAUUUAUUAGAAUUGACAAUCAUUUUAUUUUCAAAGCAUAAAAAAAAUAAAAAUGUUCCUGAAUAUUACUUGCCCUUGCACUUUCCAACCAAGUGGAGUUGCACAAAUGCAAGUACUAUUCCGAAUGAAUAGCAAGGGCAGGUUACAUGCUCUUGCCUUUGCUGUCCACUUAACGGGUGAAGAUGCUCUAAAGGACAUUGAUGUUUGUCCAAACAACCAAUUAGCAAUAGAAAAAGUAACCCAACUCCUAAUCACUAGUACGGUUUGGUAAACUUUUGAUGCGGGACAAUUCUUCAUGGUAAGAACAGGUAAAAGCAACCAAACCUACCUGGAAAUUGAAAAACACACCGGACAACAUGACACGCACCUGAAAAAAAAAAAAAAACAAUGACUAUGAAUUGAAUUACAAGGAAGUUGUUGAGCUCGAUACUAACUGAAUUUCUGGGAGAUAUACUUUUCUUUCGCGCUUGUGUAAGCAUGCAUUGUGUUUUGAUUUGUGUCCUCAGUAUGAAGUACGAAAACGUGACGCAAAACAAGUCACGAAGAAGCGACGGAUGCAGUGGUAAGUGCAGGUGGUGAUAGAGAAGCAGUAGCAUUAUCGGUCCAAUUCUUUUCACCCCAAUGCCAUAACAUGCUCUCCCAGAAGCAAAAAUCCUCAAAGCAUGUCUUCAAACGCUUGUCUUUUAUCUUAAUUUUCCAGUGACCAUCAGUGUAAUUUGCUUUCUCAGCUUGUCUCCGAUCCCACUCUAGUGCUGCCUUCUGCUUGGACCGAAGCAAACAGAAAUUUUGUAAGUUUUCCGGCAUAGCAUCAUGCACUUUCCACCACCUUCUAUGUGCAACAUUACUGGCAAACUCCUGCAGAAAGUCCACAUUCCAGUUGCAGUCAUAGUCACGGAAGCAAAGCCAUGGUUUAUUUCCCAGGUAAUGGAGGACGUAGAGGAUUGGGGGUUCAGAUGCAAAGAGAUGUGUUUUCCUCUCCUUUUUCUCCGGCUCAUCACCUUCCCAGAAGUGUUUCAAGAAGUUCAUAUGUUUUGGUAUCCUGUGCCACCAUGUAAAUACCUCAUUCAGAUAACCCUGGUCCCCACCAUUGUAGGACACAAUUUCAUCAACAUGAUCCAUGAGCAGCUGGAAUGUACAAUUUGAUGGUUCGAUAACCAUGACACCUGAGUUGAACAGAGUAGCAUUAUUUCCUGUCGCUGAUAUUUCUGGCAUCUCAAACAGGAAGUCAAUGUUCCUAAGUAUAAGCAUGUCAGCAUCAAUGAAAAUGAUCUUGUCAUAAUCAGUUAACUGCCAAAGACGGAAUUUGCUGUAGUUCCAUUCAUUGUAUGCUUCUGGUUCAGCUUUAGGGUUCCUGAUUCUUUGGAUUGUGUGGAUCUUCCACCCAGCAGCUGCCAACCCUCCACGAUGAUACUCACUGAUUGUUUCAUCAACAAGUAUUACAAGAUCUCGUGUUGAACCAGACAUACGGAUGCUCUGAGCUGCAGCAAUGGCUCCACAAACAUACACAUGGGCAGAAUGUAGGAUUGUUGCAUAUGCUUCUCUGUGGGCUCUUUCCGAGUAAAAGCUUUCUGCGUGCAAGUAUUUAGUUCAUCAGUAUAAUUUCAAAAGUAUCCAUGACUUAAGUAGCUUUCUUACGGGAUGCAACCAAAGUCACUGAACCUACUACAUAUGAGUUACAAGAUGGAGUCUAGAUUUCACAAUCAAAGCCCAAAAGUUAAAAAUAUGAUCUUCACAAAUUUCUUCAACAACUAAUGUUAAAGCUGGUCAGGUGGUCAGCACUAGCAUCAAUCACUGACGUAGCGGAUCUCCUUAGCACAUGAUAAACAUGGUGCAUCAGUUCUGUGGUUUACACAUUCAUACAUCUUAUAGGGUUUUCAGUUGGAUGACAAUUUUGGACAUCAUGAAUCAUGAGGGUUGUUGAUCACUCUGACCACGUGAUGAGCCAGCAACUACAAUCAGGGAUGUCAUGCAUUUGCAUCAUGCAUGCACGUUGGGAUGGACCUGCUGUACUUGAUCCCAAAAAGUUGACUAAAACUUAUAGACACCUAAUCGGUUGUUAUCACGAUCUCUGCCUAUGUCUGGAAUGAAUACACAACUUGUUUCAAGAUUAUUUAGUUCAUUUGAUGUGGGAUGACCUUUAUAUAAGCAAUAUUAUCUCCCUGGUGUGCGUCACUACCUACACCUCAAACUAACUCCACAUAAACAACAAAAGAUUUCUGAAACAACUACCAAUUGAAUUUUACGAUGCCCAGCAAUAACAUACAAAACCUACACCUCAAACUAAGCUCCACAGAAACAACUAAAGUUUUUUGAAACAACUACCAAUUGAAUUCUAUGAUGCCCAGCCACACAAAUGUGAAAAUCAUUUAUGAAUGAACUGAACUCUACAUUUUAAAGGAAUCAAAGAAAGUGAAAUUUGAAAAACUGAAAGGAAAUAAAAAAGAAAGAGUAAUUCAAGAGAGGCAGACAAGCAGCUCUUGUUGCACAAAAACAAAUUUUGAUUAAAAAAGAACAAAAGACACUAGUUUAAAUCUGACCUUUAGCCGUGAGAGGAACUGAAAGUUCACAUGAACCUACAGGGAGCUGUAGCUUAUCUCUCAACGUAUUCAGUUUUGGUUCAUAAAGCCAUACAUUCCCUUCCCGUCUGACAAGCUCUUUGCAAGUGAACAAAUUUGGGAUUGGGAAACAGUCUGUCACCAAAAGCACAUGCACUGGGUGAUACGCUUUGGAAGCUGCAGCCAGCCUUGCUGCUUCAAGCUGCAAGUGCAACCGAGCCACAUCUCUUGACCAGCUGCCUGACUUGUUGCAGGGAAGCUUCACAGCAAUCAGAUCAAGCCUUGGUUUUCCAGGAAUCUGAAGCUUUGGUAGGGAGGGACAAGUAGGAACUUCAAAGUCUUCCUCUUCAUCUAUCCAUUCAGGGAAUAGGGUUUCCCAUGUUAUGUUGUUCGACGCAUGAUUGAGGCGUAGAACAACAUGCUCACAAUCUGGCAACAGCUCCUUCCAAUGGUCAAUCUCAGCAUCAUUAAAGUUUAACAAGCCAAUUCCCUGAUAAUCCUUUCUGUCUGCCAGAUUUUCAAUAGCAUCAGAAAUUUCAUCCCAGUUAAUUUCUACAGAUGAUAUGUAAUGUAAAUCUUGAGCAACACUCUUUCUUGUCGACCUGUCUUCAGAAGUUGGGCUGCAGGCAGUAAACUUCUGUUACAAAAUAUUUCCACUGGUAGAGAGAGCAAAGCCAACAAAAAAAAAAAGACCAAAUCCCAUUUUCUUUACAAAGAAGGGUGCACUGACUAUAUUUUUCCAGGUGGGGAAAUACCUCUCGAAAACCUCAACGCAAAGAAGAAGUAUAUAUUGAAGCAAGAAAAUGGGAAUAAAAUAAUAAGUAAAAGCAAUGUGAUGAGCUAACAGGGAUAUACUGAGAUAUGGAACGGGAUUUAUCAUCUGAAUGAUAAACACCAGGAGAGAAGAUAAGCGUGAGAAAAGUCCCCAAUAAAAUAACAGCCAACACAAGCUUCAAGGUGGGCUUGCAGUUCAAAGUUCUAUCUUGCACGGGAACGUGGAGGAACUUCUCAAUAUCUUUAAAAUCUUUGUUCCUCUGGGGCCUUCUUUUGUUAGAGUCGUCACUGAAACAAAAAGGGAUUCAUAGCUACAUGAGACCAUCAUUCAGUAAAUAAGUGAAUGCAAUUGGAACCAAGUUCCACCCACCAAUACAAUCGAUUGUUCGGCAAUCAACUCCAUCAUUGGGAAUGCACUCUUCACAGAUAUGUUAAAACAGCAAAUAUAUGAAUAAUGAAUGUUCUACAUCCCCAUUGAAAGAACCCAAGAACCCGAUCGCGAAAGUAAUCCCUUGCACCAUCACCAUUCACCAACUAUAAGCCGUUCAAUUCAGACAGUGUAAAUAAACUAUAACCUAAUCAUUACCAAAACUCCUCAAUUCAAAUUCACACUAAAAUAAUAAAAUAAAAAUCAUAAAUCAUAAGUGGUUCCAGACCCACUAUUCAUCAAAAUUCAUGAAUCCUGACCCAAAUUUUGAAUUUUGAGUUGCCAACACAAAAAUUCAAGUGAGGGUUUUCUUACAUGAUCAUUUUUUUGGAGUAUGGAAAUUAAAAAUCGAACACUGUCGGCAAAACGAAUGCAAAUUACACUAAAAAUAGUGAGAAUAUAUACAGAGAGAGAAGGGUAGUGACCUGGCAGAAGUAGAAAGGCGGUGUCGGGGCUCAAUGGGAGUUGGGGAGGAACCUCUCAUGGUUGCUGAUUCAGUAGAAGAAGAAGCCUGGGGAGGAACCACCACCACCACCACCAGCAGUCUCUGUUGUUGCUGUUUUGUGAAAACGACGAGAUGGGGGAAUAUUUGGCAAGACACAAAACAAUUGGGGAAUAUUUUCUAUAACAUUUAAAAAUAUAUAUAUGGAAAGAGACAAAUAAACGAAUUCUGAAAAAAAAAAAAAACUGGGAAUCUACGAUCUGUGUGUGAUGGAAGGACUCUCUCUCUCUCUGUCAGUAUUGUUAUAGUGGGUAAAGAAAAAGAAUGGUCAAUGCAAGUGUAAGAAAACGGCGAGUCAGAACAAGUAAAUAAAAUUGAAGUAAUCCAUAUUUUCCUGUUUUUGUUUUUGGUCUAAUAGUUUUCAUAGUAAGUCUUUCAUUAUUCUUGAACCAUUUCCCACCCACUUUCACUCGUUUGGAAGAACUUUUAAAAUGAUUGAAGACUUUUUUAGACAUAAAAUAUUUGGGUUUCAAAGGCACUUGAAGUACUUCCUGGAAAAAGAAGAAUCAACUUUUUGCUUCUUUCAAAAAGCAUUUCAUGUGUUUUUUUUUAAAUUUACUUGCGUUUUUACUAAUGAUAGAUUCAAAAACCAUUUUAACUAAAAGUGUUUCUAAAUGAGUCCUAAUUGCAUCUUAAUAACAAAGAGCCUUGGAAAUUUGUUUUCUUUAGGAAUGUUGCGGUUCUAACUGUUCCCAAACCAUAAUAGCCACUUAGCACUACAGUCUAAUAAUAUUUUUCUUAACUUGUAAGUGAGAGGUAUUAGGUUUAUUCUCACCAAAUCGAAUUUGAACCAAUUAUUGCUAGCCUAUUAUGAAGCUUAGCUUACUCUCCUAUCCUCUUUGUAAAUAAUAUCAUUUGUUAAAAUAAAAAAAAAAUAAAAAAACUACACUGAUACUAAACCACGAUAAGGGCCGUGAGAUUGGUGCUAAGCCGGAUAAAAUUGAUGCUUCUCAUUGAUAAUAGUUUAAUAUCAAACACGCUGUUUAUGAAAGUCACAUUUUUAACCUCUUACUAACAAAAUGAGAAAUAACACUAAAUUAUAGAAUUAAGUGGCCGAUGAUGAGUUGAGGCUUAUUUUUACUUUUACCCUCACUGCAAAAGAGAAAAAGAAAAUGUUUUCUAAAAAAAAAAAACAUAAAGAAACAAAAAGAAGAAGAAAAUAUUAAGGAAAACCGCGCGUUUUAGGGACCACCAGUCCUUCAUUUCUUCUUCCUUCCCCGUUCCCCCUCCGUCUUCGUAGAUCUGCAACUUUUUCUUCUCCUACACGCAAUUGAACAUAUCAUCAUCACAAUCAUCCGCUUCAGAUCGUAGCCGUAUAUCUGAAAAUGGUGCUGGUCUCGGCCGUACGGGAUUACCUGAGUCGGAUGUUGCAGGACAUCUCCGGCAUGAAGGUUCUCAUCCUGGAUUCCCACACGGUAACAACCCUUUCAACUCUCGAAAAGUUUCAAAAUUUUUCUGAAGCAAUUGUGAUCGAGCAAAUAAUUGGUUGUUUUUUUUUUUUUUUUUUGAUUGAUUGUGGCGUAGGUCAGUAUAGUCAGCGUGGCGUAUUCGCAAUCCGAGCUUCUUCAGAAGGAAGUGUUUCUGGUGGAAUUGGUAGACUCCAUUUCCAAGUCCAGAGAAUCCAUGUCUCACCUCAAAGCCGUCUACUUCCUCGCACCCACUUCAGAGAAUAUACAGUAUUUGCGCCGGCACUUGGUUGCUCCUCGAUUUGGAGACUAUCACCUCUGUAAGUUUUGAUGUUUCUUUAUGUUAUUUUGGUUGUGGAGUGUGUUUGAAGGGUACCCAGAUGAUAUUUGGAGCUCAUUUCUCAUGGAAUUCCGGAAUUUUACAGUUUUCUCCAACAUAUUGAAGGAUACCCAGAUUCAUAUUUUAGCUGACUCAGAUGAGCAUGAAGUUGUGCAGCAACUUCAGGUAAUUCAUCAUUCACUCAAAUGCUUUCUCGCAUGUUCGUUUCGAUUAUCUGAAAAUUUAUGUAUGUAAUGCACAUUGCUAACUGAAUUUGGACUUCCAAUUUUAUUUGGGAUGCCAGCAAUUUGAGAAAUACAUCAUAAGUAGUGAAGUUUGUAACUAACAGCCAGAUAAAUGUUCUUUUGGUCACCUAGUGACCAGGAAUGCAUGGUCACUCAUCCUUCGAUUUGAUAUCGAGGUUGGAUAAGAAAUGAAUACGCAUUUAAUGUUUUAAUCUCAACACUUAUUAUCAAAGCCAAGGGUGAGGGACCUUUCCGUGGUCACCUAGUAACCCAAAGAAUGGGACUCACCUCGCCUCGAAUCUGAGGUUUAUAGAAAACAUCACCAUUUUGGACUUAAUCUCAACCUUAUAAUCAAGCCAAGAGACCUUUAACUCCCUAGUUCUUUUGGUCACCUCCAACUCAAUGUGGCUUAUUAAGACUUGUGAACAUGGAUUUCAUGAAUGUAGGGAAGCUGACCAAAGCAGGGACCUUGAACUCACCUGUUCGUGCUGGCUUUGGUAACGGGACCACAGUAUUCAUGUAUCCAAUGUGAGUAAGCUUAAGUAUUAUGUGGAAGCUAACCGAAAACUAACAAUUGCAAAAUAAUCCCUUUUAAAUGCAUGGUUGGAAUCAAUUUCUGUUGCUCUUGUUUCUUUUUUAAGAACUAAUAGUAAUAACUUCAACCGAAAACUAACUAUAAUAAAUCCCUGUUCUAAUGCAUGACUAUUUUACAGAAUGUCAUGAGUGAAGUUCUCUUUUCCCAGAUAAAGAAAAAUUUACAAUUCUGUGUGUAACGUAGUUUAUGGAUUUGAUAGUUUUUGCAAUGAAAAGACUCCAUGAAAUACAUUAUUUAGAUAUUCUACGCUUCAAUUAGGCUAUAUCUUGGUCUUGCAUAGUUCUAUGCAACUUUGUUGCAACUGAUUUUACCAUUUUACUUUGAAUGUGCCAUCAAAGUCACAUGUGUAUUUCCGCAGUCAGAAGUGCUUCUGUGACCAGCAGGCAAAGCAGACUUUUUGAUUUCAGAAGCGAAACAGAAAAAUUUCUCCUUAUGCUGGUAUUGAUAGGAGGGAUGAUCACCUGUGACCCCUGAAUCAGUGGACCUAUCAGGUAAUUGUGUCAUGACUAACAUUUACUGGAUGUGUGACAUUGUCUCAUCUUGAUGCUUGCUUUUAAAAUUACAAUGGGACAAAAUCACCUGAAAUAUAAACAGAGCUCAUUUAUUAAUCUAAUUUCAGGCAAUGGUUCACGAAUUGAUUGGUAUUCAAGACAACAAAGUCGACUUACGAAACAUUGGAAAAUUUCCAAAGGAUCAACAGGUUGAGUUUUAUUUUCCCUCAGUACUUUAAGUAUCUGUAUUUGUAAUUUUUCUUGCUAAACAAAUACAUUUGGUAUUGAUGCUCAUAGGAGGUUGUGCUGUCAUCAGAACAAGAUGCUUUUUUCAAAAAAAACAUGAGAACUUUGGUGAUAUUGGGAUGAACAUCAAGUUGGUUGGAUUAAUUUGAAUUUCAAAAAAAGUAACCAGAACAUCCAGACGAUAGUCGUAGGAUGCAAAAUGAAAAUUUGAGAGUCUUGACUUGUAGUUACUAACUAUUGCAUAGCCCCACAUGGAACGGUUGCUGGUAACUAACUGUGUACAUUCAUUAUCGCAGAGGACACUGCCAAGUUUGACAAUUACCCUGAGUAAAAGGCACGGAAAAAGCAGGCAGCAUGUGGCACUGGUAACAGAACAGACAGUAAGCUAGUUGAAGAGCAUACUUAAUAUCACAGACAGAACGGAGUUGGCUUGCAAUAACUGGAGUUUUGACUGUACUACUCAAAACAACAUAUUUUUUUCCUUAAUGCAAGGUGAACUUCGCUUGUAUCUCUUUAUGAUCGCCUACGACUUGCAUGUCAUUAACUUAUUCUAUGAGAAAGGAGAUCCUGUGCAACUAGGCUGCAUUAUGUAGUCAUGCAAAUGCCUGUCACUGUUCAAAUCUCCUCCAUAGUACAAGCCUGGGGUAAUGUAACCAAGAUAGCAUCCUUGUUUGGAUUCUUUUACCUCAUGUCAUUUUUUCCUUCAUUUUUCUUUGGGAGGGAGUGGGGUCACAUAUCUGUGGUUAAGUGGAAAAUUUUAAUUCCUAAAGCCUGACCCUCGAAGUUCAACAGCUACCUUCAUUCAGAUCAUUGGUGAUGGUGAUUUUUAUUUUAGUUUUGCUUAUCCAAUUGUUUUGGAGAUUGACCCUUCUUUGGGAGGCUCAAUAAGAGCUUAUGCUUCUAAUGUACCUUUAUUUUAGCUUCCAAAAUUAUUUCACGGGUUUAAUAAAUUAUCUAUUGUGGAAUUACAGCUUGUCCAGUUUCUCUUGAAGCAAGCGGGUGUGGAUAAGCGAACCGGGGAUCUUUUUGGAAAUCGAGAUUUCUUAAACAUUGCACGUAACAUGGCUCGUGGGCUGAAGGUUUGUUUGGGAAAGUUACACUCUUUGCAUAUUAUAGGUUGUGCUUUACAAGCAUAUAGAUAAUAUCUUAAAUGCUGUAGGGGGUUGAGAAUGUGUACACGCAACACCAGCCUCUUCUCUUCCAAACUAUGGAAAGCAUCAGUAAGGGACGGCUGAGAGAUGUGGAUUAUCCAUUUGUGGGAAAUCAUUUCCAGCAGGGCAGGUUGGUCUCUGAAGUCUUAUUCUAUUUCAUUUUGAAGUACUUUCCCCAGGAAGUCAGUUUUAAGUUAUAAUUUUAUUAAUUUUGGGAAUUUCAUAUCUCCAAGAGUAAAAACUCGAGGAGCAUUGAAAUGAAGCUCCUGCACCCUGAAACCCGUAUGCUAUGCAUGCUGCCUGGAGCCCAUUUCUUGGGUGCUUCUUAAUAACAGUUCAUUCUUCAGUGUUGAGUUUACUAGUGAGAUACAUGAAAGAGUGGUUCUGUUUACACCCAAAAUUCGUCUCUCAACAGAGGACACCCAAGUUUACAAAAUUUGUUUUGAGGACAAAUAUAUCCUUUAACAAAAAUGACCAAAAUGUCCAAAUUAUGAUUGAUUAUAUGAUUUUGAAGAUUACUGUUAAGGAAACUAUAAUUUAAAAAGUAAAAAAGGCUUCAAUUAAAAAAGAGAGAAGGAAAAGGGGUCAGGGAGGUUGCUCGGACAUCAUGGAAGUUAACAUAUUAAGAUGCUAAACCCUGAACCUACAUAUUAAGAUCCAAGAGUACGAAUGUUGUCAAACAUAUGAUCUGAUCCUUAAAAAUGAGUGGAACGAAUUGCAAGAGUCUCAUAGAUCGAUACAACACCCACACCCGUCCCGCAUAUCCAUGGUUGCCAAACUUUCCGCUGAACAAUCCUCACAGGCUGUUCUGCAAAUCUACGUACCUGAUUGCCAAAACUUUGUCUUUGUUCCCACCUUCUCUUCGACCUCUUCCUCCAAAUAAACUAAGAACUUAGCCUUUGUACAUUAUUGCUGCUGUUUUUUAGGAAACGACGGCAGAGUUUGCCAGUGAUAGCGUUGUUGGUUUAGUAUUCAGUUUUUAUCCUUUUCUUUUAAAUUUUAAACGAGGUUAAUAGUGAGAUAUUAUAAAAUACUAUGGGUGUCCAGAGAAAGAUAAAUUAAUUAUAUGGGUGUCAGGGGAAAUUUGGUUAUCCAGAGACAACUAAUGGGUAUAAACAGAAUCACUCUACAUGAAAUCAGUGCUUGCGGACAAGUUUGGAGGUCAUUGAGGCCCAUACUACCUUCUGUAGACAGGAUGACCGUCUAAAGGACCUUAAAUUUAAUCACUGGUUUUCAUGAUUGCUUUGCAGUUCAUAAUUUUCAUAAUUUCAGACACUCUGUUAGUGUCCAGGUUUCUUGCUGGUUUCUCCUAGACAUCUCAAAUGACUUGGAUAUAAACCUUUACUGUUUUUAAUUACCAGCUGCUUGGUCGUUCCUUUCUUUUUCUUCUCAAGUUGCCCGACCUUGUUUGUCUACCCCACUCCAUUUUGUCCAGUUUAAUCUCUAGGGACCCACAGACUACAUUAAUCUAUGAAACUUGUCAUAGUGCGAGGGUAGAAAAAUACAAUAAUUUGGAUUAAUAUUCUAAAUUACGCCUAUGAUCUCCAUGCAGGCCUCAAGAUGUGGUCAUUUUCAUUGUUGGGGGGACAACUUACGAGGAGUCUCGUUGUGUAGCUUUACAAAAUGCUAUGAAUACUGGAAUUCGCUUUGUACUUGGUGGUUCUGUGAUUCUCAAUUCUAAAAGGUAUGUUUCAGGUCAUUGUUGUAAUUUAUGCUGAAAUACUUGCAUUAUAAACUUAUAAGUGAAAAAGAAGUUUACCUUGCUGUACUAGCUUCACUUAAUGCUUGGAUUUCUAACAGUCUUUUAGUGGUCCGACUUGAUACCACUCCUUUCUUAUGUUGGAUGUAAGUAUGAGAUUUUUGGCAUGAUAAAUAUUCACUUAUUUGGGUUAUUUCGUGUCGCACUACUUGUUCGUAUCAGUCCAAUUCAUCUACAAAUUGAGUUCCUAGAAGUUUCAAGAACAUGAUAAAUAAGCAUUCACUUACACCUAACCAAUUAUGGAAAAUGGGAGGUUGUGAUGAGUAAAUAUUAGUACAUUUUCUUUGGAGGUCUUGAAUUAUCUGUGGUAAUUGUAGGGUAUUCUAGUUAGUUACUAUAUCUAAUUGAAAUUGUCUAAAAUAAGAUGCCCUGCUUCAAUUAUUUCUUCGCUGGCAAAUGCAGGUUCUUGAAGGACUUGGAAGAAGCUCAGAGACUAGCUCGUACUAGCAACGCCAUCUGAGUUUUGGUUUCUGGUAUGUCUAGCAUUUGAAGAGCGACGUGGAUAAGUGGUUGUGGAUGUAUAUGGGUGUUGUUUAUGUCACUUGCUUUAAUAUAAAAAUUGCUACACGUGCUUGGGGGAUCAUCCGAAUCAACCCUCUGUUGCUGCGAGAUGGCCUUUGUUUACCAUUUUGUUGGAGUUAGAACUGAAGGGAAGACGUAUCCCAUAAAUUUGGAGGCUAAGAUCUACAGCAGUUCCCACCCUCCCUCCGAUAAGAACCGCCGAGAAGAACCAAUUUUUCUGCUAACCAAGCCAGAUAUCCGUAGGUCUUAAUUAACAUAACAUGUACUUUGCCUUGUUAAGAACAUGCCAAUACCUACAUCUUCCUAUUCUUUUAUAUAUACAGCUUGUAUUCAUGUAGUUGUACUUCAGAUAUUGUGAGAAACCAAAGUAUAGAUUUACAGCAGUGGCUUCUUGUUCCAAUUUCAGCUUUUGGUGAGACGUUUUUGUUUUUGAUGCGACGCAAUUCUACUCUAAGGAUGGGGGAUUACGAGGGUUUUUUUCUCUUCUUAUUAGUGUUAGGGUUACUUGGACUUGGAGGCCACAUUCAUGUUUCUUUAUUUUACAAAGUCAUGUUCUCCUAGACUUCAUGGUCCAAAGAAAUCGUGGUCAUUCAUUAUUCGGUCUUAAUUUCACGAUAGGUGGUCAUUGAACUUUUGUUGUACUUUUUCUUCCACCAGUCGAUUCAGAUCAAAUGUUUAGUGACCACAAUUUUCUUUAACCAUGGCUAUUAUUUACUAUUAUUUUACAUCAUCAAAGGAUUUAACUAAUGAAAUAUUACAUAUACACCCUCAAACAUAUACAUAAAUACUAGUAUGUACAGCUUCUUCGUUGUAGAUCGGUUGUAUCGCAAGUUUGCCCCUAUGAAGUUUUUGGUUAUCCCAGUUUGGUUACAACACAAAUUAGAUCCAAUAAAAAAUAAAUGGGGGCAAACGGAAGUCACAAUUCACAACGUGUAGAGAAAAAUUUGUGCGGAGUUUAACUUGUCACUGGACUUUGCUGAGUGGCACUUUCAAUCCACUCAAAAUUCAUCACAUAGAAAUCUUAGAUAUAAUCUUUUAUCAUUCUUUUAUAUUUAAAAUUCUUAUAAUUAUUUUUUCCACUAAUUAAUAUACACCAUGAAAUUAAUCUAGGUGGAAUAGGAGGCUGUAGGAGAACCAUGGUGUGAAGGAAGUAGAUAUAAUUGUGAAUCAAGGGAUUAGAUUUGGGUCAGGGCCGGCCCUGAGAAUUUGGGAUCCUAAGCGAGCCUUCGAAGUGGGGUCCUAGAGUUCUCUGACUCCCGACCCUUUGUACAUUGACAUGUGUAAAAAAAAUUCACUAAAUAUAUGAAAAGUCUAUUUCUACAUCAAAUAUCUUUAAAAAUUAAUAUAAAAAACAAAAAUAUACAAAUAUUACUCAAAUAUUACCCGUCUCGCGUUUUUAGAUGCAAAUGCACUUAUUAAGUUUACAUAAUUUAAUUUUUCAACCAAUUCAAACCGAAAGAGAAGUCCAUAUACGCCAAAUUCCAAUCAAUUUUCUAUUGUUACAAUGUUACUACAUUCAAUAAAUGAAUAAAUGGUUGGAUUUCUUACAGCUAGGGGAAAUACUAGAGUGAAGAGGAUAAUAAUUUUCGUAUACGAACCUAGGCAGACGAGGCGGAUUUGAAUAAUUUAUUAUAUAUUAUAUAAACUAAUUAAUUUGAACAUUACAUAAUGUCAUUUGUCAAAAAGGUGCGAGUUUUAACCUUUUAGGUACAUAAUAAAGAUACAUGUGGUGUGAUCUUAAAAUAGGGUAAUAAAAUCCCAUAAAAUAAACAUAAAGGUGAUAUUUAAGAGAGAAACAAUAAAGUAAAAAUAAGAUGGUGGAGACUAUUUAAAAGAGAAAAGACGUGCAACUAUAUAAAAAAAAAAGAUGGUGGGACCAUCUUAAGUAAAAUCGUGCAAUUAAAAUGAUGUUGCGAAUAUGGUUGUCUUCUUCCUCGCGCAAGGCCGACCCUGCAACAAUUUUUUUCAGAUUUCAGCAUUUACAUAUAAGCCCGCAUAGCUCUCACCUAUCUUCGUCCAAACCUGCCUAGUUCCGUCUAAAAAUUGGGGGUCCUUCCGAAGUGGGGGCCCUAGGCGGGUGCCUACUCCGAUUACCCUCAGGACAGGCACUAAUUUGGGUGAUUAGUCAAAACUCACAAUAUAUGUCACUUAUUUGUCCAUCGUUAAACUAAAUGCACUUGAAGUUGAAGGAUUUACUUGGGGAGGCAAAUUGUCUACCCUCUUGUUAUUGUGCCCUUCCCAUCUCCUCCUAUUUGUGCGGUCAUGGUUAAGUCACGUCAACAUUUUAUAUUGAUUUUUAAUAGAGAUAAUAAGACAAAAAGUAAUAGAAAUAUAAAAUGUUGACGUGGUUUAAUCGUUACCGCACAAAUAGGAGGGGAUGAGAAUGACACGAUAACAGGAGGGCAGACAAUCUGCCUCCUUUACUAGGAACAAAAAAUGAAAUAGGGACUGAAAUGGACAAAUACAAAACUUCAUAGGCAAAUGAAUAAUUAACUCUUGUACUUAAAUGACUCCUCUAGAUAGUUUUUGGUUUGCAGUUUUGAGGUGUGAGUGUAAAUGGAGUUCACGUAUUCUUUGUCUUUAUUCGCCUUUAAGUUUUGAGUUGUAUUGUGCUCUCACAUUAUCACGUGAAAAAAAAAAUACUAAUAUAAAGAUAUUGUAUUCCUUCUUUAUAUUUAAAUAGAAAUUUACAGUUAAUCUUUCAUCUUACAUUUUCACAUGCAUUUUAACUACCGGAUCUCAUUUUUUUAUGUUUUUAGUUAAAAAUCUGUCGUUUAAAAGCUACAAAAAAAUCUCAUAUCCCAUAUUAUCAUAAAAAUUAAGGAAAAUUAAUGAAAAAUGUUUAAAAAUUUUGAGUUUUAAUAAUAAGGACAAAAUAAAAAGUAAAGUGAAUAGUAUCAAGAUUAACUUUUUAGUGUAAAAAUGUGAUUUUUCGUUAAAAUGAACAGUACUGAAAGCUUUUCGUUAAAAUUUUCUAAAAAAAUAUCUUGAUAAAGGAAUCCACACAGGGCAUAUGUCAUCAACUUCAACUUUUGUACUUGGGUCACUGUUUUAUGCAUGCAAGGGAAAGUGAGAAGCGAGAGAGAUGUGUGCGUGCCUUAUUUUUGGUGGGUAGCUGACAAGCUGCAUGGGACGAAAAAAGACCAACAAGAACCUGACAAGCUGUCAUAGCUUCUCUUAGCUUAGCUAGCUUGAGAGUUGGGUGGACUUCAAAAAUGUGAAAUGAUUAAGCUUUGGACUAUGAGAGUGUACGAGACUUAGGGGAGGGGAAAGGUAUAACGUGAAAUGAUUAAGCUUGGAGGAAUGGCAGACUAGCAGAGUCAGAGUGUACGAGACUUGGGGGAGGGGAAAGGGAUACUUUCCGAUCUUUUUUAUCAAAUUCAUCCAAUUAAUUAAUUUGGAUUUUUGAAAUUUGAUUCAACGGUUAUAAAUAAAAUAUUCUUUUAAAAAUUAUAAUAAUUUUAGCUGUUAAAUUAAAUUUCAAAAAUUCGAAUUAAAUAGUUAAAUAGAUUUGAUGGAAGAAAUCCAAAAAUGAUCAAGAAAUUCUUGGGGGAGGGAGACCUGUCUCAAGAACAAGAAGCAAAUCACAACUCUUGUCUCUGCUGCAGAUCUAAAUAAAUACUAGACCGACCUACCGAUCCUCUACUUAAAAAGGAUACGUCCCAAUGACAAUAACUCGUCGUCCACCACCCUAGAAGUGGAAAAUCAUCAUUGCAAUUUGCAGGAGAUGAAUAUAUUUGAAAAAAAAUGAAAUGAAAAGUAAAGAACGCUUUUCAGAAAGGUAAACAAAUGGCAACUACAUAACAAGUCGUAUCUCAAUUUCUCAAAUACAUUAAUUUUAUUUUAAAAAAUCGAUGGUACGACAGCAAUUGUCUACCUUGCACUAUACUUCUGAAAUACAUUAUUUAGUUAGAACUGAAGGGAAGUCGUAUCCCAUAAAUUUGGAGUCUAAAAUCUGCAGCAGUUCCCACCCUCCCUCCGAUAAGAACCGCCGACAAGAACCAAUUUUUCUGCUAACCAAGCCAGAUAUCUGUAGGUCUUAAUUAACAUAACAUGUACUUUGCCCUGUUAAAAACAUGUUAUACCUAAAUCUUCAUAUUCUUUUGUUCAUAUAGCUUGUACAUGUAGUUGUACUUAUAUUGUGAGAAACCAAAUACAGAUUUACAGCAGUGGCUUCUUGUUCCAAGUUCAGCUUUUGGUGAGUCGUUUAUGUUUAUGAUACAACAUAUUCUACUCUAAGGAUGAAGGAUUACCAGAGUUUUUAUUUUCUUCUUAGUAGGGUUAGGGUUACUUGGACUUGGAGGUCACAAGAUCCGGGUCACAAUUUGUAUCGAUUAGACAAAUCGUUAGAAUUCUCAAAAUGAUACAUUCUCAGAUAGUGGAUCAUGUUUCUUUAUUUUACGAAAUCCUAUUCUCCUAGUCUCCAUGGUCAAAGAAAAUUAUGAUUAUCUACUGUUUUUAUCUUUUUUUAACUAUCGUGGUCAUUGAGCUUUUGUAGUACUUUUUCCUCCACCAUUGGAUUAAGAUCAAAUACUUAAUGAAAUAUUACAUAUAGUAGUUACAAGAAUACUAAGGCUUGGUUUGGUACUGAGAUGAUUUUGAAAAAAAGCUGGUAUAAAAAAAAGCUUGUGUUUGGUAAACAUUCAGCUUCAGCUUUUUUUCACAGUUUUGGAUGAAAAAAAAACCAAAAACAAGAAGCUGCAAAACUCAGCUUUAAAAAACCGGCUUUUUUCACAUAUGUUUUACAUAAAAGUUUACCAAACACUAUAAUACUGCUUUUUUUUUUUUUCAAAAGCAUUUUUACAAAAAACGUUUACCAACACUCUACAGUUUUAUUUCACAGCCGCUUAUUCUCACAGCACAGCAGAAGCAGUUUUUUUUCAAAGCACAACAAUACCAAACUAGCCUUAAUAUGUACAGCUUCUUCGUUGUUGAUCCGGUUUAUCGCAAGUUUGCCCCUAUGAAGUUUUUGGUUAUCCCACUUUGGUAACUUACAACACAAUUUACUACCUAUAAAUGUGGGCAAACGGAAGUCACAUUCACAUGGUGUGGAGGAAGUCGAUAUAAUUAUGAAUCCGGGGAUCAGAUUUCGGUGAUUAGUUGAAACGAAAGUCAAAACUCACAAUAUAUGACACUUGAAAAAGUACAAGGAUUUACUUGGAACAAAAGAUGAAUUAGGGACUGAAAUAGACAAAUAUAUAUAAAAAUCCGAAGGCAAAUGAAUAAUUAAUUGUUGGACAUAACAUGAUUGUUCUCUGGGAGAAAAUGUUCAGUCUGCUGAAAAAAUGAUCUGAUACAUCAGAUGUCAUAAUAUAAGUACUUGAAUUUUUUUUUCAAAUAUCCAACUACUUGUAUUAUGACAUUUGAUUUACCGGUUUGUAUUUCCCACACACUGAAAAACCUCUCGCUCUUUGGAUAGCUUUUGGUUUGCAUUUUGAGGUGUAAGUGUAAAGGAUGAGAAUUCACUCCUCUCCUAAUCUCUUUCCCUUUUCUUCUCCUCCUACUUGAAGGAUUACGCUUAAGUUAAGUCAACAUCUUAUAUUGAUUUUUUAAUAGAGAUAAAAAGACAAAAUACAAAGUGUAAGAAGAGGGAAGGAGAAAGAAAUAAGAAGAGAGAAAAUCCUAUUCCAAUUAGUUCACAUAUUCUUUAUCUAUAUUAACUUUGAAUUGCGUGUGCUCUCACAUUAUCCCGUGAAACGAGAAAUACAAAUAUAAAGCUAUACUAUCUCUCCUUUACAACUAAACACAAAUUUGCAGAUAGCAUUUUGUCUAACAUUUCAAUAAGCAUUUUAACCUUCGGAUCUAAAUAAUAUCUACAAAUAAUGUGUUAUCCCCACACCAUUUUUUACUUUAUACACACCAUUUUAAUUUGCAGCCAUCAAAUCAACUGAAUUAAAGGAGAUCAAAUAACAAAAAUUAACAAAUAAUGUGUGAGAAGUAAAAAUGAGUGUGAAUAGCACAUCUCUAUCUACAAUUAGAAAAAGGAGCUCCAUACAAGGCAUAUGCCAUCAACUUUUGUACUUGAGUCAUUGAUCUAGAGUCUAGCAUUAUUAUGCAUGCAUGGGAAAGUGAGUAGCGAGAGAGAUGUCUAUCUUGAGGGGCGUAUUUUUGGGAGUGUAGCUGACAAGCUGUCUGGGACUACAAAAGACCAGCAAGAACCUGACAAGCUGUCAUAGCUUCUCUUAGCUUAGCUAGUUUGAGCGGAGUUCAAAAAUGUGAAAUUAUUGCUAGGAGGAAUAAAAGACUGUAGGAGACUAGGGGGAGCGAGGGGAACCUGUCUCAAGAACAAGAUGCAAUUACAACUCUGUCUCUGCUGCAGAUCCUCUACUUAAAAAAAAAAAACAUCACAAGUACCAUGACUCAUCCCCUACCACCCUAGAAAUGGAAAACCAUCGUUGCGCGAGAUGAAUAUAUUGAAGAAAAAAAAUGAAAUAAAAAGAAAAGAAAUGCUAAUCAGAAAGAAUAGUGAACAAAUGAAACUACAUAACAAGUCAUAUUUCAAUUUCUCAAAUACAUUAUUUGUUUUCUUUAGCAGUGUGAUACUAUGAUAUAAUGAAUAGAGAGAUCACACGAAAUAUCUUAUAAUAAUUUACACUAAAGUCAUUUAAAUUCUAAGAAGAAGAAUCAAACAUAAGAUUUUUUAUGCAUAGACAAAUGCUCUUAACUAAGUUAUAAGCUACUUAAUGUUCUACAUUAUAUAUGAAAAAUUUAAAACAUUUGAUGAUGUAGUUAUUAAGAUAUUGCCACAAUGUCAUCUCACUUAUAAUUAAAUAGAUAUUAUUUGUAACAUAGUAUGAGUCCUACAUAAAAUAUUAGUGAUUCCAUAAAUCUUGCAAAUUUCUCAUGAAUAAUAUGUGUUUAUACCAUACUUUGGUCAUCCGUAUUUAGAUCUCGUAUAAAUACUCGGGGGACUCAAAUGUAAUUAUGUAAUAAAUGAAGAGGCAAAUAUGUAAUAAGUGAGGAGCCCUUAUUCUAUAAAAUGACUCCUCACUCUCCUCAUUAUGAGAGGCCAAUUCUUAGGCCUGGCUCUCACCCUCUCAAAGCCUCUCAUAUUCAGAGUAAAGCUCUCAAACUCUCUCUCCCUCACAAUCCUCUCACAAAUAGAGAAAUACAAUAUCAGUGUGGACGUAGUCCAAACAUUGGGGUGAACCACGAUACAUCUUGUGUUAUUUACUUUCUUGCAGAUUCACGGUCGGAUUUAUGUUGUUCCAAGACCCCUCCGGUUUUGUGUAUCAACAUUUGACGUUGUCUGUGGGAAUUGACACAAAAAACUAUGUUGGUUCUCUUUCAUUUUUUUCACCUCCACCGUGAAUCUGCAGAAACACCAAACCAAAAUCCCAGUCCCAUCUCUCUCUCUCUCUAUAAACCCAGAAAUGGGUAAGCAGAACAAACACAUACUCUAGCUCUCUCUCUCUCUCUCAUUUCCCUCUCUCUAAUAUCCCUCUCAGAAGAGAUAGGCGUUAACCCUUUUUAUCGAAUUUGACCCGCUGAUUCCCCUCUAUUUACACUCGAUUGCCAUCCCCCACCACGUAAAUCUCCUAAUAAAGCCUUGGAGUCUCGGGGCUUUGGGGUGUUGGUGGUGAUCUGGACCAAUAUGGCAUAGUUUUUGGUUUUGCGGUAGAGCUUCCAGUUUCUAGGGUCGGUGACAGCGGUGUUGGUUGUUCUGUAAAUAUAGAGAGAUCUAAUGGCACAUAUUUCAGGGACUUGCUUGAGCUUUCCUCAUCAGAGAAUAAACUCUUUGACGCGUCACAAUAUGAAUUUUUUGGUCGAAAUUUGGUGGACGAAGUUGAGUUGGGGGGUUUGGACGAUCAGGAAGACAAGAAACCUUUAUCCGGGCCUGUUGAUAAUGAGUACCAUUUAUUUGAGAAAGAAGAGGGUCUUGGUUUGGGAUCUUCUGACGUUGAUGAUCUGGAAAGUACUUUUGCAAAGACUUGCAGUGGGAGACCUUCCCUACCAUUUCCGUUUCUGUCCACCAUGGCGAAGCUAACCCGAGCCCGUCGCUCGCUGUCAGGCUUCGCAUCCGGCUCAUCCUCUCGCUCAUGCUCGCGUUCCCGCUUCUUCUCCGGUUUUGACUCCCACUCCAGCUCGCUUUCUUGCUCCCGAUCUCGCUCCAGGUUCUUCACCUCUUCCUCCUCUCUGUCUCGGAGUGGCAGCUCUCGCAGCUGUAGACCCCUUGCCUCCACCCAAAAAUCCCAGGUGCUAAAUUUGAUUAUUGCACUGACUUCAUCAGCAACUUUGGUGUUUUUCCUACUUUUCAUCUACUUUUACUGCAAGAAAACUGCAAAGAGUGAGCAAAAUGAUGUGGAAAAAACAGAGCAAAAGCAAGAGGAAGUUGUGGAGGCAGAAGAGAUGGUGACUUUUCAGGAUGGGGAUGACUUAACAAUCUGCGACAUUCUAGAUGCUCCGGGGGAAGUGAUCAGAAAAUCGAACUACGUACGCUGUUUAAGGCGCUGUUGCAGAGCAACAACUUGGUGAAGUUGCUGAGGGCCGAGAGGAAACAACUUCAAGAUUGGAUACAAGACAAGGCCAGCGAAACCCGGGUCAAGGAUUACAAUGGCAAUUAAAAGCUUAAAGCCAGAUGGUCUUCAAGGCCAUAGAACAUAGGUGGGCAGAGAAGGAGCGGAGAGAUCAAGAAAAGCAAGUGGGUGGUGUCGAAAAGGCUGUCUAAGCAGUUGUCACUUUAAAGAAAGGAAUAUUGCCCUUAAUCAUGUCAUCAAGCGACAUAUCCAAAGCAGAAAGCAGAAAGAAAAGUAGAAAGUAAAAGCAGAAAGCAAAAGAAGAUAAAAAGAAGCAGACAUAAUUGCAGUGGAUAUGGCAUGCAGAAAAGGGAAUUAUGGGCGUGACCUAUUGAGCAGAGGGUUGCAUUUAUUUUUGAAUGAUGUAAUUUAUUUUUCUUAUCUUUCAGAGACAUCUGUGUAAGCCCAUUAGAGGGUAAUAAAAAAUUAAAAAAACGGCAAGCCCAAAAUAAUGGGAUGGGAAUGUUAUGUGGAGGGCGGAGGCCCAUAUGCCCAAAAGAGCCAUACCCUCUAUUAUUACCAACCAGGUGAUCAAAAGUACGUCCAGUACUACAAAAAAUUAUUCGGCACAUUGUCGCUAUUAUCACCAACCAGGUGAUCAAAAGUACGCCUAGUACUCCAAAAUUAUUCGGCACCCUACCACUAUUAUCACCAACCAGGUGAUCAAAAGUACGUCAAGUACUCCAAAAUUAUUCGGUAGCCUGCCGCUAUUAUCACCAACCAGGUGAUCAAAAGUAUGUCCAUUACUCCAAAUUUAUUCGGCACCAUGCCGCUAUUAUCACCCACUAGGUGAUCAAAAGUACAUCCAGUACUCCAAAAUUAUGCAUGAGCAUCACUCAUGUCAACAUUCAUGAGCAUCACUCAUGUCAAACAACAUAAACAUUCAUGAGCAUCACUCAUGUCAAUCAGCUUCGAAAGUUUCAUUUACAGAGCUCCAGCUUUGAGAGCCCCAGCUUCAAAAGCUUCAUUUACAGAGCUCCAGCUUCAAAGCUUCACUUUAAAAGCUUCACUUUAAAAGCUUCACCUACAAAGCUUUAGUGCAUGGUCUACAAAGACCACCUCCGAACAACCGCUACUUCGGCUCAUACAUGGAUUGAAUUUGAAGUCUCCAGUCAACAGCCUCUAUUGACUGAAGACUUAGGGGACUACAUUAUGUACCAUAUAUUGGGCUUCCACAACUGGGGCUCAUGAAAAAUACUUGGGGGACUCUAGCCCAUUAUUUAUGUACUGAGGAGCGAACCCUUAUUCUAUAAAAGGGACUCCCUCACUUUCAUUAGAGAGCACCCAUUAUUCAUGUACUGAGAAGCGAUCCCUUAUUUUAUAAAAGGUACUCCCUCAUCAUCAUUAGAGAGCAUCGGCGCCAGCUGAACAACCGCCUCGCCUCGAGCAUCACUCUUAGCCCAUCACUUAUGUAUUGAAGAGCGAGCCAUUAUUCUAUAAAAGGGACUCCCUCACCAUCAUUAGAGAGCAUCAACUCUAGCCCAUCAUUCAUGUCAUUCAUGUAUUGAGGAGCGAGCCCUUAUUCUAUAAAAUGGACUCCCUCACCUUCAACGCCACAAGCUGAGCUAACCAAGGUAACAUAAGCCACAAACCGAGCAGCAUCGCAACAUGUGCUACAUCUAGUUGAGCAUCAUUUUACAUUGAGCAUCGCCUCAUAUCGAGUAUUCAGUUCUAGACGACAUCCAGUUACUUCGGCCUACACAUGGACUGAAUUUCAGGUCUCCAGCCAAAAGACUUUGACUGAAGACUUGGGGGACUACUGUUUAUAUCAUACUUUGGGCCUUCAUAUUUAGAUCUCGUAUAAAUACUUGGGAGACUCAAAUGUAAUUAUGUAAUAAAUGAGGAACCCUUAUUUUAUAAAAUGACUCCUCACUCUCCUCAUUAGGAGAUGCCAAUUCUUAGGCCUGGCUCUUACCCUUUCAAAGCCUCUCAUAUUCAGAGCAAAACUCUCAAGCUCUCUCUCCCUCACAAUCCUCUCACAAAUAGAGAAAUACAAUAUCAGUGUGGACAUAGCCCAAACAUUGGGUGAACCACGAUACAUCUUGUGUUAUUUACUUUUUUGCAGAUUCACGGUCGGAUUUACGUUGUUCCAAAACCCCUUCGGUUUUGUGCAUCAACAAUAUGAACAAAUUGUUAUAAAAGUUAGGAUAAAAGAAAGAGCUUGUAUGUAACGAGUACCGUCACUCACCAGCGACUAGUGAUUGUCAUGAAUUACGACGGCUUGGGUUAAAUAUGAAGUCACACAUCAACUUUGGCUUUGGAGAACGUUUUCUGGCUUGUAGUGAUGGAGUUGAGAUCUCUCCUGAUCUCAUCAUUCAGAGUUUAAGGACCAGCAAUUUUGCAUCACUAAAAUUGAAUUUGACUGUUUCUAUUAACUCAUUCUGUUAGCCAUCUCACACAAACCAAGAACCUGGAUCUCUCUUUCUCUCCUUAGGCGAUCUGAAUUUGUUAGCCUUUAAGCUUUGAACAAUGAGGUCCAAAGAGGAUCUCAACUCGUAGUGAUGGACUAAAUCUCUCUUUAUAUUAUGAUUGAGUGUUUUAUGAAGGUCUCUGAUAACUUUGGGUUAUGAGGCUCUCUCAUCCUGCACAAUGAAUGAAGAUUUCAUUUAUAUCUUCGAAUCUGUGAAAUUUACACACGCUUUUAACUAGCAUUGUUGCAACACUACCCCUAGGUCCCCUAUAACAAAAGAUAUUUAAGUUUAUUUAUUUGCUCUGAAAAAAAAAAUCCAUUGAAUAUUUUCACGGAAAAAUUUUGAGGUCAAACUUGUGGAUAUCAGUCAUAUCAAAUUAGAUUGAAUGAAAUUGUAGAUGACGCUUUACUGCAAACACUAGCGGAUCCAUUAAGGGGCAAGGGGGGUCAACUGACCCCCCAAACUUCGAUGAACGUCCAUAGAUACCUUAGGUGCUGACCCUCCGAACUUCGGUGAAUGUCCAUGGAUACCUUGAGUGCUGCCCUUUUGAAGAUUAGAGUUGGCUUCAUACAUGCCUUCCAACCGACUUCAGGCCUACCAAAACCCGAUGAAUGUCCAUGAAUACCUUGGGUGCUGCCCCUUGCAUACAUUAACAUGUGUGUAGUAUGCAUUUUCAAAUGACUUCAUGCCUACCAAGACUCAAUGAAAUAACGAUAUGCAUGAUAUUUCUGGUAUAAAAAAAAUUUGCGCGUGUAGCGCACUAUUCUUACUUACCCCUAUAAUAUUAUUUCCUGGAUCCGCCACUGACUGCAAAGAUGAAAAUCAAUUAUAUUUGUACAAUUUUGUGCAGAUUUGAUCCACAUCAAUUAUCUUUUCCUCUAUCAACUAACAAUUUAAUCAUCUAAUGCUAUCGUUUUUGAAAAAAAAAAAAUCACAUAAAACUUUGACAUUUAUAUCUUCAAAAUCUCAAUUAAUUGAGUUACACUGAUAUUUGUAAACAAUUUUAAAUUGUAAAUCAACACAUGAUUUUUUAUUGUUCUCAUAUAUUUCAAGAAGGAAAUGUGAUUGCUAAAGAAUUAGUUAAUUUAGAGUUGCUCUUGUCUUUAUUUGCUCUAUCCACAUCCCAUAUAUCGAACUAACCACCCCAAAUUAAUGUGAUGGACAAACCCAAUUAAUCUCAAUAUAACGAGCCUAACCAAGUACUUGUGAUGGCCAGGGCCGGCCCAGGCCCAGUGCAGGAGGGGCGACCGUCCAGGGCCCAAAAAAAUUAGGGGCACCAAAAUUAUUAGGACGGUAUAUUUAUAUAUAUUUUUAUAAGAGUAUAAAUUUAUAAAAUUUGAUUCAAAGACACAGAAAUUUAACUAGAAGUGGUGGUUUGUCAUUUGAAAAUAAUAAGAAGGUAUUGGGUUCAAAACACCAUGUGUGCUUAUUUAUUUUCCUUUUUUUACAAAUUUCUUUUUAUAAGAGUUUAAAUUUAGAAAAUUUGGUUAAAGGAUCAAGAAGUUUAAUUAGAAACAAUGAUUUUUGUUGUUUAAAAUUAACAAGAGGUCCUAAGUUCGAAAUGCUAUGUGCAUGUUUAUUCUUUUCAAUUUUUACAAAUUUUUGUUUGGUUGGUAAUUUAUUUUUAGUUACUAUCUAGUAGCUAUGUGGGUUGUUAUUUUUAAAUAUUCGUUUUAAUUCAAGUCUAAUCUUCAACAAAGAAUAAUACGUAGACCAAAUUUGCAAAUUAUAUGAUGUGUCAUCAAAAUGUUUAAUUUAGUGCCCAUUCAUUAAUAAUACAUAUCAAUUAAAGACUCGAAAACAUCAUUAUUUUUUAGUCCCAUAUUGACAAGGUUAGUAAAUAAGAAAAAACACUUCACGAUUUAUUCAAAAACACAUUCAAAGUUCAAAUAGAAAACAAAACUCAUCAUCUAUCUACUUGUAAGCCCGAAGUUUUUUUGUUUCCCUCUCUCAAUACAAAAUAAAUUAGUCUUUCUGUGUUUCUUAAUUAUUGAGUUUGAAGUGUUUUUCUAAGUAUAAUUUUUUCGAUAUCUUAUGUGUGAAAAUAAAUAAUUUUCUUACAUAAAGUUAGGGCACUUUUUUUUAGGUCUCCCCGGGCCUCAAAAAUCUCUGGACCGGCCCUGGUGAUGGCUAUUAGAUAUUCCUAGUACAUGAGAUAUUAUUAAAGCUAAAAUUAAGUUUUGAAAUAAUGCAUGGACUUCCUCGUGCAUGAAUUUUAUAAUAAUUCACGUAAGUGCUACUUUGUCUACAUCACUUAGAGAUUGCUCGUUUUCUGCAUUUGGAUUUUUUGGACAUCCGAAUUUACACGUUGGUCUUAAAGAGUCACAUAUAUAGUUUGUUGUAUUUUGGUUACAAGUCUGUUACAACUGUCUAUGUAACUAAUUACUAGAUUAGUUAGUUAACCAAGGGUAAUUAGUCACUAAGCUAUUUCUCACAAAUGUAUAUAAACCAGUUGUAAUUUCCUUAUUCAUUAAGAAAUGAAAAUAUCAGAGUUAUUUUUCUAAUAUGGUAUCACGAGCCUCUCUGCUCACGCACCGAUCCUAGCUUCCUCCGAUCCUAGCUUCCUCUGCAAUCUUUGAGAUCUUCCUCUGCAAUCUUUGAUUUUUCUACCCGAUUUCAUUUUCUCUCUGCAAAUCCUUGAUCAACAAUGGCGUCUUCUACCUCUUCGCCUGCAAAUCCAGAAGUUUUCGCUCAGAAUCCUACUCCCAUUUCCUCAAAUUCAGCUCCGAUAAACCCUAAUUCUUCGUUUUCAUCAAUUUCAAUCCAAAACAUCAGUUGUAUGGUUCCUACAAAGCUUAAGAAGGACAAUUAUCUCACCUGGAAAGCUCUUUUCGCUCCAAUUUUCCGGCGCUACAAACUUACAGGUAUCAUCGAUGGAUCGGAACAAUGUCCAUCGCCCUUUCUUCUCAAUCAAAACGGUAUCGGUACUGCCAUUCCUAAUCCUGAUUACGAGAUCUGGUUUGAAAAGGAUCAAAAUAUCCUGAUCUGGUUGAAUUCCACUCUCUCUGAAGAUCUUAUUCCGUUCACCGUUGGCGUCACCUCAUCUCGAGAAUUAUGGCAGAUUCUUGAACAACGGUUUGGCGGAGUCUCGACAGCGCACAUUCACCAGCUCCGAUCGCGUCUUCAUGCGAUUCAAAAAGGUGAUUUGUCAAUUUCUGAUUAUCUGCAGCAUAUCAAAGGCAUCUCUGAUGCUCUUAUGGCUGCCGGAGCACCGGUGUCAGAACCAGAUCUCAUUGCUGUUACACUCAAUGGCCUUUCGGAUGAUUACGAGUCUUUCAUUGAUUCGAUAAUGCUUCGCAUUUCAUCUACUUCUUUAGAUGAACUUCAUGGCUUACUCAUGAACAAAGAGAUCUUUAUGCAUCGCAAGAAGACAGCUCAUUCGUCGUCUCUCACUGCACCAUUUCAAGCAUUUGCUGCUCAAGCUCCGCCUCUCCAGCAAGGUCUCUUACCUACGCCUCCUCCCUCCCAGGCAUAUGUUGUUCAACAUUCUACCUACAACAAUCGCAACAAUUUUCAGCGCCAUAAUCGUGGCCGCAACAAUUUUCAGAAGAACAACAGAGGUCGAGGCAACUAUCGUGGAAAUUAUACUAACUCUGGCCCUGGUAAUGGUUCUUUUCAUCAUAAUACUAGUCAUUAUAAUCGCAACUCUGGUGGGUUUCCUCGUUCUUCUGGAACUCGGUCUCCCUGUCAAAUAUGCAAUUCUUUUGAUCAUGAGGCUCUUGACUGCUAUGCUCGCAUGAAUCAUGCCUUUGCUGGAAAGAUUCCACCUGCCAAGCUUGCUGCUAUGUGUGCUUCUACUGCCUCUUCUUCUCAGCCUACAUGGCUUCUGGACUCUGGUGCUACUGCUCAUGUCACCAAUGAUAUCUCCGCUAUCACUUUCCCCAUUCCGUACUCUGGUGAAGACAAGGUUUAUGCAGGUGAUGGCCAAGGUAUGCCCAUCCAACAUACAUGUUCUUCUAUUCUCCAAACACCACAUGCUGCAUUUCGAUUAAAUAAUGUUCUUCAUGUGCCAAUGAUGCAAUUCAAUUUGCUCUCUGCAUAUCAGUUUCUAAGAGACAAUUAUUGCUCUUUAACUCUUGAUUCUGAUGGUUUUGUCAUCAAGGACCGUUCCACUGGGAAGAUGCUUUUUCGAGGCCCAGUUAGGGAUGGUUUCUAUCCUCUGCAUGGUCAGCCAUUCCAAGCUUCAUAUUCUGCACUUGUAAGCACUCAAGCAUCUUUACAUCAAUGGCACAAACGACUUGGGCAUCCUUCCACAGCCAUUCUGAGAAGGAUUUUACGUACAAAUAACCUUGUUCCUCAUACUUCAACUUCUGUUCAGUUUUUUUUGUGCAGACUGUGCUAUUGGCAAAAAUCAUAAGUUGCCCUUUUCCUUUAGUACUACCACUGUAUCUCAUAGUUUGGAUUUAAUUCAUUGUGAUGUCUGGGGUCCCUGUCCAGUUUCAUCAGUUAGUGGUUAUACGUACUAUGUACUCUUUGUGGAUGAAUAUAGCAAAUACAGUUGGCUGUUUCCUUUACAACACAAGUCUGAAGUCUUCUCUACUUUUAUCACUUUCAAAGCAUAUGUUGAAAACUUGCUUGGCCAUAAAAUCAAGAUUCUUCGAACAGAUUCAGGAGGUGAGUUCACUGGUUCUGCUUUUGCUUCCUUCUUGCUUCAACAUGGUAUUUCUCAUCAGUACAGUUGUCCCCACACACCUGAGCAAAAUGGGUGUGUGGAACGCAAGCAUCGACAUCUCACUGAAACUGCUCGGACACUUCUUGUUGCUUCCAAAGUUCCUCACAAGUUUUGGGUAGAAGCCUUUUCUACUGCACUGUAUCUUAUCAAUCGGAUGCCUCUUUCUGGAUCUUCUCAGUCUCCAUGGGAAAUGUUUUUCAAAAAGCCUCCUGAUUAUUCCAAGUUAAAGGUUUUUGGUUGCUGCUGCUAUCCUUGGCUCAAGCCAUAUAUGCAAUCCAAAUUGGAUGGUAAAAGCAAACCAUGUGUAUUUCUUGGUUAUAGCCUUCAACACAAAGGUUAUUGGUGUUUGGACGUGUCUUCUAACAGAGUCUACAUUUCAAGGCAUGUUGUCUUUAAUAAAGAUCAUUUUCCAUUUCAUCACAGUAGCUCGUCACAGUGUUCUUCCUCUGUCCCCUCCCCUACAUCCCUUGAGUUCUCCCUACCAUUUCCUCAAUCAUGUCCCCCUGCACCACCGCCUUUCAGUUUUCUCUCAAGGUCAAUGCUCAAGCUCUUCUCGGGUGCAUUCUCCACAGCAACCUCCACCUCCACAACACCUUCAACCUUCACCAUCUACACGGCACUCUCAACCUCCCCAGCAACCUCAAGCCUCUAUUUCAUCUCCGGUGCCUUCUCCUUCUUCACUUUCAACAAUCUCAGUCCCUACCAACACUCAUCCAAUGAUCACUCGAUCUAAAGCAGGAAUUUUCAAGCCUAAAGUGUUAGCAGCCACGAAGCAUCCUAUUGAUUCCAGUUCAUUUGUCCCUACUACUUAUCUGCAAGCCUCCAAGUAUGAUCACUGGAAUAAGGCCAUGCUUGACGAAUUUCAAGCUCUUCAAUCCACCGGCACUUGGACUCUUGUACCCUCAUCUCCUCAUCAAAACUUGGUUGGAUGCAAAUGGGUUUUCAGGAUCAAAAGGAAACCUGAUGGUUCUAUUGAUCGGUAUAAAGCCCGUCUUGUUGCUAAGGGUUUCCAUCAACAAGAGGGUAUUGAUUUCAAGGAGACUUUCAGUCCGGUUGCCAAACCUGUCACUAUUCGCAUUCUUCUUACAAUGGCAGUGCAAUAUGAUUGGUUUUUACAUCACCUUGACAUCAGCAAUGCUUUCCUCCAUGGCAAUCUCCAAGAAGAUGUUUUUAUGCAACAACCCCCAGGUUUCAUUGAUCCUUCCAAACCUUCUUAUGUCUGUCAACUCCAGAAGUCUCUCUAUGGAUUGAAGCAAGCCCCUCGGGCUUGGUAUGAUAAGUUGUUUCAAGCUUUGGUCUCUCUUGGUUUCACAAACUCCCAAUCUGAUUGUUCUCUGUUUGUGAAACUUCAACCAUUCCCUGUGCUCGUCCUUGUAUAUGUGGAUGACAUCUUGGUGACUGGUCCUAAUACCUCUCUCUGUCAACGUUUUAUUCAGCAACUCAGUUCCUUAUUUCCAGUUAAGGACUUGGGGCCUUUACACUAUUUUCUUGGCUUAGAGGUCCACCGAUCUGAUGCUGGUAUUUUCCUGUCUCAAAGCAAGUAUGCUUUAGAUCUUUUAGUCAAGACUUCCAUGGCCGAUUGCAAGCCCUGUCCUACUCCUCUGGGAACUCAGAAGCUUGAUCAUACUGGAGCUCUUUUAGCUGAUCCUAAGGAAUACCGGUCUAUUGUAGGGGCUUUACAGUAUCUCACUUGGACAAGACCUGAUCUUUCCUUUGCUGUGAAUCAAGUAUGCCAGUUCCUUCACUGUCCCCGGGAUUCACAUUUUCAAGCUGUCAAAAGAAUAUUAAGGUUUUUAAAAGGUUCUUUUGAUCAGGGGAUGUGGUUUAAGAAGUGUCCCUUGCAUCUUACUGCCUACUCUGAUGCGGAUUGGACAGGUUGUGUGUUUGAUCGAAGGUCCACCAGUGGCUAUUGUAUAUAUUUGGGCAGCAACUUGAUUAGUUGGAGUGCUAAAAAGCAACCUACAGUUGCUCGUUCCUCUACCGAGGCUGAAUAUCGUUCUCUUGCGCACACAGCCGCUGAACUUACAUGGAUAUGUAAAAUUUUCAGAGAUGUCGCUUUUCCACUCACUACCAUUCCCACUCUUUGGUGUGAUAAUGUUUCCGCUAUUUCUCUGGCCUCUAAUCCGGUUUUCCAUGCUCGUACCAAGCACGUGGAAAUUGAUUAUCAUUACAUCCGUGAACUCGUUCUUGCUAAGCUACUUCAAGUGCAGUAUAUCAAUACUCAGUUUCAAGUUGCUGAUAUUCACACCAAAUCUCUUUCUAAGGCUCGGUUUCAAUAUCUUCAAUCCAAGCUUUCUCUCGGUUCUCCUCCGUUCAGCUUGAGGGGGUGUAAAGAGUCACAUAUAUAGUUUGUUGUAUUUUGGUUACAAGUCUGUUACAACUGUCUAUGUAACUAAUUACUAGAUUAGUUAGUUAACCAAGGGUAAUUAGUCACUAAGCUAUUUCUCACAAAUGUAUAUAAACCAGUUGUAAUUUCCUUAUUCAUUAAGAAAUGAAAAUAUCAGAGUUAUUUUUCUAAUAGGUCUCCCCUUUUUUAUGCGCCAUUUUUCGUCUUCCCUAAUCCUUUUACUUUGGUUUUGCAAGCUCUUACUUUUUAGGUUUUAUUUUAAGGGGUUUGGUCAUAUAACCCACUCUUCUUCUUGCCGGAUCUCUUCGAUCCUGCAACAUUUCACGGUCAAAUACGCACUAUCUUGACUGAGGAAGUCUAUGCACUAUCUUUCGUCAUUUGGUGUAUCCUUUGUUUUAUUUUUUCUUUAUUAUCAUGAGUAAAGUUUUGUGAACAAGGAAAAUUCCUGAAACGAAAGAGACAAGAACAAACGCGCACAAACAAAUAUUAUGUAUUUGAUGAUUUUGGGUUACAAUCUCUCUCUAAUUUGAUCCUCUGAUUCGAUCUCCGUAAGGUGUUGAUUUGUGGGAUGUGCGAUUGAUCCAAGGGCCGUCGAGGCUUGAUCUUGGAUGAACGAGGAUGAACGGAUCUUCAAUGGCUUUUGAGCUUGAUCUUGAAGAAUGGUGAUUGACGGAUCUUCAAGGGCUUUUGGGCUUGAUCUUGAAGAACAGUGAUGAACGGAUUUCCGAGGGCUUUUGGGCUUGAACUCGAAGAAUAGUGAUGAACGGAUCUUCGAGAGCUUUUGGGCUUGAACGGAUCUUCGAGAGCUUUUGGGCUUGAACGGAUCUUCGAGGGCUUUUGGGCUUGAUCUCGAAUAACAGUGAUGAACGAUGAACGCUUUCUUCAAGGGCCGUCGGGGCUUGGGCUUGAUGAACAGCGGAUGAGCGGAUUUGUUGAUGUUGUCGAUCCAAAGGGGCCGUUGGGGCUUGAUCUUGGAAGAACGGAUGAUGAACGAUGGUGCUUUCUUCAAGGGCCGUCGGGGCUUGAUCUUGAAAGAGCGAUGGACGAAGAACGAAGAACGAAGAGAGCUUUCUUGAUUCUUCGGGAACCUGGAUGCUUGAGAGCUUCGGAGCUUCAGAGCUUCAGAGCUUCAAGGUGUAAUAUGAAUUGGUUCCCCAAAUGAAUGAAAUUGGGCUUGUAUUUAUAGAAUUUUCCAAGGCCUAAUUUUGAAUAUAAUAUUCCAGAUGAAAUAAGUCGUUUCUGCCAGGCGUUGACACGUGUCCUAUUUGAUGACUUUUCCAACUCAUUUCAAUUUUCGUUGAGUCACACGCUACGUGUAAAAUUUAUGUAAUACAUGAGCGUUGACACUUUGAUUUAUCGGUCAACAUUUAUUUACGAAAUUUCGAUGUCUACAAAUGCCCCCACUUCAAGGCACGUCGUAUACAUGUGCUUGUCACGUGUAGGAGAUGCGUUUUGAAGUCCCUUACUGUAGAUGUCGAUCCAAGGGCCGUCGAGGCUUGAUCUUGAAUUGGGCUGGAGAUUUCUUCAAGGGCCAUUGAGGCUUGAUCUUGAAUUGGGCUUGAGAUUUCUUCAAGGGCCGUUGAGGCUUGAUCUUGAAUUGUUGUUUGAAAUUUCUUCAAGGGCCGUCGAUGCUUGAUCUUGAAGGUUGAAAUUUGACCACAAGGAGCUUCAUGUGGUAGAUGAUCUUUGGCUUUGGUAAUGGAUGAAUCGGCACGUAUUUUGUUGCGCUUGUUGACUUUCCACAGCUUUGAUCUUGAACUGGGUUGGAAGAUUUUCUGGAUUCCUCCAAUUGUUGAUUUUCCACAGCUUAUUCUUGAACUAGGUUUUGAUUCAAGGGUGGUAGACACUUAAUCUUGAAUCGGACUUGUGAUUUCCUCAAGGGCCGUCGAGGCUUGAUCUUGAAUUUGGCUGGAAACUUCUUCAAGGGCCGUUGAGGCUUGAUUCUUGAAGGUUGACUCGGACACAUGGCAAGCAGGCACGAGGUAAAGGUGACAACCUGUUUCUUUGUUCAAUCUUUCUAAUUCACACCUGAGCAGUUUGGUCAACGGUAUGAUCUUCAAGAUUGAUGAACUCUUCUUCCAGUUGGUGACUUGAUCUUUAAGGAUUCGAUUCAAGGGUGGUGAAUCGGCACGUGCAGCCCACAACGCCUAGUAAGUCGACCCAAGAAUUUGAGGGUCAAAACAAGUUCAUCGUCCUCAGGCAGAUGCGACAUCUUCUCGAGUUCUUCAUCUCGGACUCUUUCUGCUGAGUUGAUUGUGCAUGCUGCAUUCUUCUCUGCUUGUUUCUUCAGGCAGAUAUGGCAGCUUCUUGAGUUCCUCAGUUCGGACUCCUUCUGCUGAGUUGACCGUGCAGACCGCAUUCUUCUCUGCUUGUUUCUUCAGGCAGAUAUGGCAGCUUCUUGAGUUCCUCAGUUCGGACUCCUUCUGCUGAGUUGACCGUGCAGACCGCAUUCUUCUCUGCUUGUUCCUUCUGCACCUUGUCUCCACAUGCUGCAAGGUAUCAUUUUCACUUGCCUUAUCUGUUCUUCAGGCAGAUGUGGCAGCUUCUUUGAAAGUACAGCAGCAGUGGAAGGCGAGUACUCGAGAGCAGUGCUAGGUAGGCAAUCAGGGAAGGGUUCCAAGCAGUCGGUUCCUUACCCGAGUUUGAGUGGAAGUUCCGGCAUAUUGUUUUCUUUAUCCUUGUCUUUGUAGGUAAGAACAAGGAUAAAGGAAAGGACAGGGAGAACGCAUGAUAUGAGAUACUCUUGCUUUCUACCCUGGUGAUAUGAGAUACUUUUGCUUUGGAGUCAUUGGCUUGCAGAGGUACCCCAAGGAAUAAGGAACACUGGGUAACUCAAGAGGCUUCGUUGGGAAGGCAUUCUCAGAGAUGAAGAAAGGUUUUGUAUGUCUGCCUUGCUAUGGAGGGUGAAGAUGGACAGUUAUAGGAAGUUCUUUAAUACUUGUAGAGGUACUAUUCUUUCACUCGUGUCGGCAACUAACGCGUGAUUGAACAGUAAAAUUUCACGUGCUUUCUCUUUCACCGAAAAUCUUCGACAAAUUGCCCGUGAUUUGCGCAAAGUUGAGUGUGUGCAUAUGACAGGUGAUGACUCGGCUGAAAAAGACUGGCGCCUCUUCGAUAUCUGGGAUUGGCGCUUCGACAAAUUACCCGUGAUUUCCGCAACGCUGAGUUUGCGUGUGACGGGUGCCGACACGUCUGGAAAAGCAAGAUGCUUCUCCGAUUUCUGAGCUUGCCUCUUCGAUUUUUGAAUGGCCUCUUCGAAUUCUGAGCUCGCCUCUUCGAUCUCUGAAAUCCCGUCGAGUGCUGAUUUUUUAUAGAGGCAUGCAGUUCAUUUCAAAACACACUUGAAUUUUCGCUUGUGAAAACUUCCCUCUUGUACUUCUAAGAUCUUGAUUUGUCCGAUCUCUUCUUCCUUCAACACUUUGAAAAUGUCUGGUCCCUCCGACCGUCGUUUUGAUUUGAACCUUGGUGAAGAGGUAGUCCCGUCUUCUCCAGAUAACAUAUGGCGCCCAUCCUUCAUAUCCCCUACUGGUCCUCUUACUGUUGGGGAUUCGGUGAUGAAGAAUGAUAUGACCGCUGCGGUGGUGGCCCGGAACCUUGUCACUCCCAAAGAUAACAGACUACUUUCCAGGCGGUCUGAUGAGUUGGCCGUUAAGGAGUCCCUGGCUCUAAGUGUGCAGUGUGCGGGUUCUGUGUCCAACAUGGCCCAACGCCUAUUUGCUCGAACCCGUCAAGUUGAAUCGUUGGCGGCUGAAGUGAUGAGUCUCAAACAGGAGAUAUCAGAGGGCUCAAGCAUGAGAAUAAACAGUUGCACAAGCUUGCACACAACUAUGCCACAAACAUGAAGAGGAAAAUUGACCAGAUGCAGGAAUCUGAUGGUCAGAUCUUACUUGAUCAUCGGAGGUUUGUGGGUUUGUUCCAGCAGCAUUUACCUUCGUCUUCUGGGGCUGUACCGACUGCUGAGGCUUCAAACAGCCAACCUCUGACGCCUUCUCUUCCUGGAGCUCUGCCGAGUUGUGAGGCGCCACCUGAUCGUCCUUGAAUAUCCCCUCUUGUAAAUUUGAUUUGAUUUGAUUUUUUUUUUUUAAAUUUAUGUAUAAUUUCCAGAAAAAUAAAUAAAAUGGACCUUCUAUUUCUCUCUAUGCAUUUGUUUUUUUUUUCUUUUUCUUUUGGUGCUGGAUGCACCAAGUUCCAUCAUUUUUUUUUUAUUAUUAUUAUUUUUUUUAUGUUUAUUUUUUUUUUUUUUUUUUUUUUUUUUUUUUUUUUUUACAAUAUUUAUUUUUUAUUUAUUUUUUUUGCUUUCUUUCUUUCUGCACAUGGUGCCCAUGCACCACCAGAAACUUUUGAUCUGCCAUGGGGCUGUACCCCAUCUUUGAUCCACCAUUCCUCUUUUUUUUUCACGUGGUGCCAGAUGCACCACUUUGCUUUGCUCCACCAUCCUAUUUUUUUUAAUAUAUCUUUUUUGUAUAAAUGUUGAUGAUGGGUAAAGAAAUUUGCAGGCAGCGGAGCAAGGAGGACGGAGAAGAUGGUGCUUCGAGCUUCACGACCGGCUAGUCGUUUGACGGCGGUCGUUGAAGUCGUUGGCAGCUGCGGUGGAAGAUGGGCAAAGAGGAGCGGUGCAGCUUUGGAAGUAGCAGGAGAUGACGGAGAAGGAGUCCCGCUCGAUGGUGUUUGAGAUUGGGUUGCCCCAUGCAUUCACAAGUUUUUUUUUUGUUUGAUGUAUAGUGGUUUAGAGCAGCCACCACGGCAUUCCCAAGUACAUCCUUACCUCGAACCUUGCGGGGACCAACUUCUGCUUGGGAACGAUCCUGCAGUGAUGAAGGUGGACUUGGCGAGGCGGAGUGCUAAGACCGGGAGCUGGGUUCAGUAGAUGAAGACUCGAAGUUGAUGCCGGCGUUGUGGCGACGGAAGCGUUGUGCAGCAACGUUGUGGGCCCUGGCGUCCGUUUGGCUACGGGACCACGCUUUUGUACUUGGAGGAAGGGAGCUUCCGAGACUCGACCUCGAAGCUGCCGGUGCCGCCGCUGUUGCUGAGCUUUGAGUCCAGAAGUGCACUGCCCGUGCUGAUGUUGCCGAUGCGGGGGUUCAACGGUAAGCUGGUCUUCGAUGAGGUCAUCGACGGAAACAAGGUCAUCGACAAUGGUGAGCAUGAUCUGCAACUUCUUGAUCCCGUAACCAACGGAAACCAAUUUCGAUGCGCCCCAGAAGAGACCCUCCAUCUCGACACUCCGAACAGCCUCAUCGAGCUUCUUCAUGUCAGACUCAUCGUCCCAAGGCUUGACAUCCAAAAGAACAGAGGAUUUUCCACUCUCCUU
rnacentral:lncRNA from 1 species